UGUGCGCCGCUUGCAUCAACGUGGGAUGGGAACUGCUGAACUUGCCUGCUGCUGUGGAGGUGAAGGCGCAGGGAGCACCGGUCAUGGCGGCGUGAUGAAGAGGUUGGCGAUGUUGGGAGUCAUGUUGCCUGGCACGUCAGUUGGCGUUGUUGUCGGCAUCAUGGAACUUGGCGGGGAGCUGUCGCCACCGGCCGCCAGGGGUGGUGCGUCCAAAGGCACUGUCUGGGCGCCUCUUCCACCGCCAGCCAGCGGAGAUGCCGGUGGUGGCCCGUAGGCCGUGUCACCCUGGCUCGCUUGGAGCUCCAGGCGGCGCAGCGCAAGUUCCACCUCUACGUGGGUGACCUGCCCGUCAGCUGCCGGAAGGCCCUGGGUGGUGACGCUAGGCUGCGGGAGGGCUUCUUGUAUCCUGUCGAAGGUGACGGGGACCGGCAUAAGCGCCGGAGGUCGUGGCUGACGCGUCUAAGCUAUUGUCGGGAGGAGGACGGACGAGGCUUCAUUCCCGGCGGCAGUGUUUGAGCCAAUGUUGGGUUUCCUAGUAUUACCUCACCCUACAGAAUUUUCUCCUCCCCAGUCAUCGAGAUUUGAGAUCAUGCCCGUGCAUUGCUACGGGCAAUACAUAAAGCUUGGGUAAUGUGAUGUUGAUCUUAGUGCAAUACACGAAAUUUAUAGAGCUAUGUAAUACUUUGAAAUUCCAAUUUUGGUUUCUUUCAACCAUUUCCACUCGGUGUAAGGUAGUGGACAACAAUGUACACCUAUGUCUAUGUCCGUUGUCACCGGAUCAACCUUUUGCAACGUAAACUAUGGGUCAACUUGGUUAGGGAAAAAAGCGUAUUAUGCAUUUGCUACUUUGCUGGAAAAAAAAAAGCAUUCGCUGGGCGACGAGCACAUACGAAUGACGAUAGUGCUUUCGUGUAGCAUAUAAGAUUUCGCACUAUAUAUUGACUCAUAUAAUUAAUUGUGCUCUAGCACAGUUAUUAGUUGCAUGCACAGGACUAUCAUGGAGUAAAUUACAUUGAUGGAUCUUCAUAUAAAGCUUGCAAAGAAUCCCCCAGUGCUGUUUCAGACUGCAUCAGCACAAGGCCGUAAUCACAGGCGAAAUGACUACUCAAAAGCCUCAAACUAAGGUCUACAAACGUUUUAGUUUUCCAUUUUGCAUAUCAUAUGAAAAUGUCAUUUGCUAAAAUAUAGCAGCAAAUGAUAUUUAUUUACCUCUCGAAAUUUUGAAUCAAGAAGCUUGCUAUUGGGCACCUGGUAUCGCAGUAUCAGCAUAGAGGAAGAAGGGGAAAAUAUCAAAUAAAAAAACUCGCGUGCAAAUAUUCAUGGAAGAAAUUAAAACAAGCUUUGCUUUCCAUGAACUGAAAUUAUCCAAUAUUGUUGUGUAAGGAACUAAGAAAAGGUACAUGACAAAUUGGUCACUUGCGCCAAAUUGGUCAGAACUAAUCCUAUUCCUUUUUCUAAAAUAGAAAUUCAUUGGAUCCAUCCUAAUAGGAAGAGAUGGCAUGAUGACCACAUCCUUGUUUGGCUGCUGCAAGUUCGUCCUUACUCUCUAACUCAGAAUCCAUGCACAAAUUAAUUCUUGCUCAUUGAAAUAAACAGCUGGGUGAUCGACCUGCAGCAAACCCAAAACUCAUGAUUGUGCCACAACGUAGAAUUUCAGAAAGCCUACUAUCAUGCAUUGCUGCCAGCAGUACUCAUCAAUCCUUGCUCCCUAACACAAAAUCAGAACUAACAACGUACAACCAGUCUGAAUGUCUAGUGGUUUAGGCUAAAUAAUUUUGAUUUGUGGCCUAAAGGAACAAAAGUAGUGAUCAAAUGAAAAGUAACAAUUGAAACCUGGGAAACAUUAAUCCUCGAGGUGCCAAAUUGAGUACCUUCUCUCCAAGGUUAACCUACACAAAUCAUUCAUGGUCAUGAAACAUGCAGUGCGAAUUGCAAAAACAUGUGGGCAUGGAGAUACAUCUGUCAAAUUAAAUAAAUGUGUUCUACCGGCAGUUGGAUUAGUCUGCACAUAUCAAGAUGGCCACGGUGGAUGCUGAGAUCUGAUGAAGCCGCGUUGAAACCGUUGUUGACCAUGAUUUUGGAAACCAAUGGAAGACAAGGCGGGCCUAGUCCGAAGCAGAAUCGACUUCACCAGAUAAAGGAAAACGUGAAGAUUUAUCUUUGAUAGUUUUUAGAAAUAGCUGUAAUAGUCAUGUCGUAAUCGAUUAGGAUUUUAGCUUGCUCCAGGGUACAAGUAUAAACCCAUGAACCUUGUAAAGAAUUAAUCAUCAAUCAAUCAAUACAGCUUUUCAGCGUCACGCAGCCAAAAGCCUAGGAGCAGGAGUAGAGUAGAUUCUUCUAGCGUGCAAGGUUGCAUCGGCUUCGAUCUCAGGCGAGCUUGUAAGUACCAUCACCUGAUCAUUACAACCUCUAUCAGAACUUUCUAAGUUAACUCUUAUAUUCUAAUGUUGUCGUGUGAUUAGUUAUCGAGUUAUCUUAGAUUGCAAGUAGAAUUUUUUAGGCUUUGUCCAAUAUUCUGCUUGUCUUCGACGUUGCUCAAGUUAUCAAACGGCUUAGAUCUGGUUAGGUUGUCUUCAUCGGCUUCCUUGUCUUGUUUAAACGUUCACAAUUAUCAGAUCGUAUCGGCUGGUAGACUUUGCAUGUUUUUACUGCUUUAUAUAUGCUAGAUCCGAUAGAUCUAUACCCCUGCCUCUCGUAUUGCUAACCGUCAGGCCUCUAACGUCAGCGUGCUACCAUUGAGAGCCGAUGCUUCGGUCGGGUCUUACCCGUAUCUCACGGAAGCAUGAUGACGUUGAGCCGAUAGGGGCACAUGCGAGGCUCGCUACCGCGAGCCUAUUUGUUAAGAUUAAUGGGUUGAAGUUAAUGCCUUCUCACGGUGUUACCUUGUCUAAGUUUAAUUACACGGUUAUAAUAUUGAUUAGAGUUUGUUACAUUAAUAGGCUUGUAAGCGGUAGGCAAGAUGUCUUUGGUGAUUGUGCUAUAACCUUUUACGUUGUCAGAUCGAGAUUAAUGCUCUCUCAUUAGUGUUGUCUUGUCUAGGUUCAAUAUACUUAUUUAAGAUAUGUUUCGUAGUGCAGUCCAUGUUACGAAGCCCAGCAUGCUGUCAUCCUUCCCACUCCGCUCGGGGCCAGGCGCUUCAUUUCCCUGCUUCCCGCCAGUCCCGAUGGCAAAGGCCGGCCGCCCCAGCGCUCACGAGCUGCUUGUUCGCCUCGCUCAAACAAUUGGACACCAUCGCAGGCCGCAUCACGAGCUGUGUGGCAUAGCUAGAGCUUGCUUAGUGGUAUAGACUAUAAAGAAGAUCCAACCGUUCAUUAGUAUGGGCAAUUUAAUAAUUAUCACGAAGUUAUAUUGAUCGAAUCGGUACAGAGUCCACUUUCCUUCCCAUCCUGCCAGCCUUUGAGAUUCCCAAGCUGCCUCCGUGCUGCCGCCGCCACCCAGGGCUGUCCUCCAUGUGCCGCCGCCGAAAGGGCGCCCCCGUGCCCGGCCGCCACCACACGAGCGUCACCCCAUUCUGGCCAUGACUGGCCGCCACCGCAGGCCUCUCCUUUUUGUGGCGCCCCCGCAAAGCGCCGCACUAGGGCCACGUGCCGCCCCUGCUCGGCGCUGCACAAGGGUGCCUCCUCCCUGUGCCAUCCUUGCCUCUUGUGCCUGUUGAUCGAUCUACAAUUUUACUCUUUUACAAUGCACAACUUAAUUCACAUCGAAUUGCAGGCACCGCAAAAGAGCUCGAGCUUUUUGCCUUCAUUGGCAUGGCCUCACUCAGAGUAGCAUGAAUGCGAACUGUUGAGCUACAGUCUGCAUGUUCUUCAGCCGCUUCUAUCAUGUAACACUCAUUUAUUACCUUCUAUUCUCUUCUCCUUUAUAAUCUCUCGCUCUCAUCCUUAGUUACACCCACACCCAGCCUGCAAACCUACAACCGCUUUUCUUCCUCCCCACUCCAAAUUGGAGAUCAUUGUGUAGACAUAGAAGAUUCGGCAAACAUAAUAAUAAGAGAGAAGAGAGAGAUGAGGCCCUUCCCAAUUUCCAAGCCUGCAUGCUAAAGAUAUAGUUUGGUGUACUGUACCAGUACAAAGAACAUGCCGAGCCAACUGAAUCAGGAUGCACUGUGAACGUUGGAGUGGAGUGAGAGACGUCGGGAGCCGAGGUAACUGCUGCAGCUGCGCGCGGCGUCCACCAUGUUGCCACGGCGUCGAUCACGCAUACAGUCGUACACACCCCGCAAUGACUUCCAGGUUCAAGUCAUUCAUUAUCUGGAAGAAGGCUCCGGAACCUGGUGACGGGCAGGCAUUUGGACGUGGGGAAUGGUGAGGCAGUGAGGCUUUCUCGUGUAAUACAUGUUCACGCAGAAGUUGGCAUUGCUGACUACUGAUAAUUCGUAACUCAGGUCGGAUAUACGAUGUUAGUUACUAUUACAGAGGCUGUUCCUUCCACAUGCACGUUGCAUAAACAAGGAUUUAUGAUACAAGUAUGUAUUACACACGAUAGACCUGGGAAAGGGAUCUGAUCUCCAGUGUAUAGAUGCAAACCCAGGUUCUAUACAGGAGAACCUAAAACUUGAUACAAACCACACAAUGCACCUAAAUCUUCUGCCUCUCUCUCUCUCUCUCUCUCUCUCUCUCUCUCUCUCUCUCUCUCUCUCUCUUUCUCUCUCUCUCUCUCUCUCUCUCCCUCCCUCCCUCCCUCCUUCCCUCUCAACCAGUAGCAAUUGGGCUAUGACAGCUUUGCCAUAUGUAAUUUAUCACUUCCCACUCAGUCUUCCUUCACCCUCAUUAGUUCAUCACCUCAUGGAUCACAUGCCUUCAGCAUCCUUUUGCAGUCAGUAUUUAAGUAGAGUACCACACUACCAUCCUCGUUCCUCAGUGUGGUCUUUAAGCUACAACCGGUCUAGAACUACUUAAACCCUUGCAAGCAUGCCUUAUAGGUCCUAGCAGUAUCAUAGAAUAACCGGAUCAAAGACAAACAUGUAUACAGGAGACUGAAGAAGAUGCAUGUCUCGAUCAUGCAUAUGUCCAUUGAAAUUAAACUAAUAUAUAAGAUCUCUCCACUACCAAGUGUAGGAAUAGGAUGCAUCGGGUAUGUAAUUAUCUGCCAGUGGCAUGCAUUUAGUCGCAGUAUAUCAUUUCCUGGACGGAAACAUGAGGAUGGCCAGGCCAGGCUGAUUGUAGAGAUGGCUAGAUUUCCCCUUCUGCCACACAAAAACCAUUUAAAAUUAUUUUUCUGUAACAUCAUAAUGGGGAUUAAUAUGAGUUAUUACUGAUUCCUAUGCAAUACGAAAGUUCUCUAGUAUACUGAUUUUUUAUAAACCAUACUGCUAAUUACCGGUAAUCUUAAAAAAAACUGCUAUUUAACGGCUGUGGAGGUGGUAUGGAACCAUCCAACCAUCACGGCUGUCGACAGAGUAAUAUAAUAUGCAUGUCCACAACAUGAUUACAAAUCUUAUUGUCCUUUCUUUAAUUUGGCAGACCUUUAUGUUUCUUUCUUUCAUCUCUUCUCCGAUGCUAUAACAAGAGGCCACACAUAACUAGUUGCAGUUCAUGGUGUUCAAGCUUUAGCCAUCUUACGUUUGAUGGAAGAAUUCACGUGCGAGCUCGAGAGAUGUCAUAGCCUCAUAGGGAUACAAGGUCCAUGCUCCUCUAAUGUGCUUGGCAGGCACCAGAGUUACAAACAAAUUAAAACAGGCACGGGUGGAAAACUGACCUUCCAUCCACCUCCUUUUGUCCCGGUUAAUAUUUGACCCAUGACUAAAAGUUCACCAACCGGGAGCGGGGGCUUACAAACCGGGACUAAAGAGCCCCUUUAGUCCAGGUUGUAAAGGCCAGUGGCCCUGACGGUCCUUUUCUCCCGGUUGAAAACACCAACCGGGACUAAAGGCCCCCCUUUAAUCCCGGUUGGCAUGGGCGGAGCUACAGGGUAUGCCGGGUGGGCCCCGGCAUAUCCUGGGCCCCAGCACCUUACACAUCCGUGAAUCGCCCGCCUGGUUCGACCCUGACGCUAGGAGGCAGGAGCCCAGCCCACGACUGACGACUGUGACGAUUAACGAAACUGACGAUUCCUUUCCUCCUGUGAGGCUGUGACGAUUCCUUUCCUCCUGUGAGGUUGUGACGCUUCCUUUCCUAUUUCCUCCCGUGAUCCCCCCUGCCCCCUGGACGGCUGGACCCUAGUCCUCUGACCUCUGCGCUAUGUGGCUCUGCUAGGCACACCGUACACGACUCCUCCACCCGCCACCGCUAGACAUCAGACCGCCACGGCGCCACGACUCCUCCGGUCCUCCCAUCCUCCGUGGCAACACCGCCAACUGCCGCACCAGGCCACCAAGGCCAGCCAGCGAGUCUGCGCGACUGCACGUGGGACUUUGUGCCAUUGCGUGAAAACUUCUGAUCGUCCACAAGGAAAACUUCUCAUCGUCCACGAGGAGGUUUAAGAUGAAUCUAUCUUCUAUUUUUUAUUAUUUGAAAAAACUUAUAUUAAAUAUCUUAAUUUAUUUAUGUAUGAGUGCUUUUUUUAUUUCAGUUCGUGAGUUUAUUGAAUGGAGCAUCAAUCCAUCAACAUUCUUAAAUUAAUAUCGUGUGAGGCUGUGAUUUGUAAGUUUUCUACCGGAAAGUUUAAUCUUUUGUGCUAUAUUUCGAACUAUUUAUAUUGUGAUUUAUUAUUGUUUCUAACUUAGGGGGUGUUUGGCUCCAGGGAGGCUAAAGUUUAGCCCUGUCAUAUCGGAUGUUUAGAUACUAAUUAGGAGUAUUAAAAAAUAGUCUAAUUACAAAACUAAUUACACCGAUGGAGUCUAAUUCGUGAGCGAAUCUAUUAAGCCUAAUUAGUCUAUGAUUUGACAAUGUGGUGCUAUAGUAACCAUUUGCUAAUGAUGGUGGAUUAAUUAGGCUUAAUAGAUUCGUCUCGCGAAUUAGCCUAGGGGUUCUGCAAUUAGUUUUAUAAUUAGCUCAUGUUUAAUCCUCCGAAUUAGCAUCCGAACAUCCGAUAUGACAGAACUAAACUUUAGCCCCUGGUAUCCAAACACCCCCUUAAUCUUUGAAUUUAUUGAAUUGUAAAUGGUUUUAUCGAAUUGCAUAAGAUUUUUUUUUCGGCAUACCCUGUAGUAAAAUCCUAGAUCCGCCACUGCCGGUUGGUAUUUCCCUUUAGUCGCGGUUGGUGUUUCCAACUAGGAGAAAAGGGUGGUCCCUCGUUCCGCACACCCCCCACCCCCUCCACCUCUUCGAUCUCUCUCUCUCUCUCAGACUCUCUCCACAUUAAAUCGGCAGUACACAGCGUCCUUAGCCGCUGUGUACUUAGCUGCACAGCGGACAGGUAGCUCCUCCUCUCCUCCCUCUCUCCUUCUUCCUUAUCAUCUCCUUCCUUAUCCUCUCUUCUUCCUUUCCACGCAGGCGGGCGGCUGGGCGCGUGGAGCAGAGGGCCGAGGUGCGCGGAGGCCGGGGGCCGAGGCGGCGGGCGGGGUGGGGCGGUGGCGGAGCAAAGGGCGCAGGUGGCAGUGCAGAGGGGUGGCACGAGCGAAGUGGAGGGGUGGAGCCGGCGCAGAGGGGCAGCGGGGCGGAGACGAGGUCGGCAGGCCGCGGCGCAGAGGGGCGGCGCGGGCGAAGUGGAGGGGCGGCGGCGCGGGCGCGGCUGGGCGGCCGGCUGGCAGGCGUGGAGUUUUUUUUAUUUUUUUCAAAAAAUUUUGUCCCGGUUGGUAACACCAACCGGGACUAAAGGGGGUCUGACCCGGGACUAAAGGACCCCUCUUAUCUCGAACAUUUAAUCCCGGAUGACUUUUCGGGAAAAUUGACCCCUACCGACCGAGACUAAAGAUUCGUUUUCUACCACCAAGGGGUCACAUUAGAUCGCUUGCAAAGGAAGAUAAUUAUUGGAUCGCAUUGCCAGAGGCUGUUGUCAGAUUGUAGAACACGCCAUAUGUUAUCUAGACACGAGUACCAAAACUUCCUCGAGGAAGUGUGGUUACAAGUGGCAGAAAUUAUAUCAAUAUAAUUUCUCCUCUGAUAUCAAUGCAAUGCAUCCUGCCUUUUCUCCUCUGAUAUCAAUGCAAUGCAUCCUGUCUUUUUCUCCUCUGAUAGUGUAAGGAUCGGUGGCCUAAGAAGAGAGUUGAAUUGGGACUUUUUUGAAAUCUAGAAUGAGAAAAACAAACCUUAACCUAGAUAACUAGUGAUGUCCAAACUACAAGGUUCAAACCUAUGAACUAAACACACUAUUAAGGAUAAAACCUAACAAUGAGCACACUAAGAUAUAUAUUGCAACCUAGGCAAGAUAUGAGCAAAACAAACACAACAACAACUAGAGCAAAACAACAAGUAAAUUGCAGGAAGUAAAUGCUCAAAGGAAGUACUGAAAUAUAAAGAGAGAGGACACGAGACAACUGGAAUUUUUCCUGUGGUAUCGAGGAGUUGACGCUCCCCCCAAUCCACGUUGGAGCACCCACUAUGGGUUUUGCUCCCCCUCAAGCCACCAAGACUUGAGUGCUCACUAAGAAUAUUCCUUCUCCAUCUCCAGAACAGUGGACUUCAAACCGUGUACAAGAUCUUCCUCUUGGGGCUCCCACAAUCUCCAAGAGCUCACCGAGAACCUCCAAAUCACCAAGAUUUCUAGGUGACGUCAACCACCAAGAGUAAUAAGCCUCAAUGCUUCACUGGACCAACACUAAGCUCAGCCACGAACUAGAUGCACACUUAUCACUCUCAAGCACUAAGAGAAGUCCUUAAUCUUGCAAAUCACAAAUCACUUUUGGCUCUAGCACACUCUUACUUGCUCAUGGGCUGCUUGAAGUCUUCAGGGUGUUAAGAGCAGCUCAAAUGACCUAGGGAAGGGGUAUAAAUAGGCUAGGCAACACUAUAUAGCCGUUGGAAAAGUGUACACAGAAAAGCACACCAUUGGAUGAUCCGAUGGUUUCCAUCCCCAGGGCGUCGGAACAUCCGGUCACUUACAAGUCCAGAUUGUGACCGUUAGAAAAGUAACAGUAAAAUAUAUAUCCGAUAAUUUCUCCGACGGUCUUGAGCUGAGCAUCGGAUCAUCCGGUGCUAAAGAGGGUUUGGCCAAAACCUCUCUGGAAGUUUCAAUUGAAAAUAUGCUUGCUCCGACGCAUUCAUCCAAUGGUCAUACGCAGGGCGUCGGAUCAACCGGUGCUGAAGGCCCAAAACCCAAAACCUCUAUGGAAGUUGGAAUUGUAAAUAUGCUUUAUCCGAUGGUCUGUACAAAUUUGUCCAAUGGUAGCAUCGGAACAAGUGAUGCCUCCCUCCAAAGAUUCUAGCCUUAGAAAAUUCAUCCGAUGCAACUAAAAAAUAGGGCAUCAGAACAUCCGACGGUCCCCUAAUCUUUAUAACUCAUCCAAUUCAAAUUCCUUUGAUUUUUUGUUGAUUUCUUCACUUCUUGAGUACUUCCAUAAGUUAUUUGAGCUACCAAGUGCCAGAGUAUACUGAGUGUGCAUCAUUUUCAUAGCUAGCCUUGUAUGGUCAAGAUAUUAUCAUUGAAACCCCUCUUAAUAGUACAGUCCAAGAGCUAAACCCUAUACUACACCAAGUGUCCUUCAUCUCCUUGUGACACGUGGUUCUAGAAGGGUCCUUAGCCUUUGUCGCACUAGCCUUUUAGUCCGCUUGAUAAUUCAAUUGAGGGUCUGCUUCAAAACACACGGGUCAGUCAUAAGGUUGUCAUUUAUCACCAAAACACACCCUUACCAAAGGUGCAGAGAGGAGCCUAGGUGCUUCAGAUAGUUCAUAAAAAAAUAUACUCUCUUCCACGUUUUUAAUUCCAUCCCCUUGCUAAAGCAGAGAGGUGAUAUAUAACUCAUUGAAACUUGCAAACCAAUACACUCACUAUACAAAGUAAGGCUCCAAGUUAAGUUUCAGUCCUCUUACAGAAGUAUACUGAGCAGAGAUGGAUAUUAGUAUACAUGCAUUACUUACAGAAGUAGACUGUCCAAAGAAAUUUUUUUUACCCUCUUACAUUACGCACGCUUCACCCACUACAUAACAUGUUCGUUAACUUUCUUGCACUCAAUACUGUACUCGGUAAUGAACUAGUAAAGUUUGCCAUCUUUGAUGCAAGCGCGACCAGUUUUUAGAUAAUGUCCAGUGCAAUAUAAAAGGCAUCCUAGUUAAACUUAAACCCCACCACCUAACUCUGUUCCUCACCCUUGCCUGUAGCAUUGUUGUGCUAUAUAGUACCAUGUCCAAGUCCAGUUGAAUGUCGCAUGGGCAAAAUUUCAGCUAGUUUCCAUGAAACAAUCUAGCUAGGUAUGGGAGGCAUCAGCAGAGCAGUAGCUGUCAUGGCAGUACAUUUUUCUACCGCUAAGUGUGCUGAACAGUCGAGCAAUGCAAUAAAUGCUUCUACGGCUGUGUUGUAGGAGGAGGCGCAGCAGCAGGCAUUGUUGUCUACUGGCAGCCAAUGUCUUCCUAGAAUACCAACCAUAGUCACAAGAAAUCUGGGUUGACCGAGGUUGUGGGACGAGGAUCGACGCUCGACCAAAAUAGGGUACGAAGGUGACGACAAUUUGGUACGUUGUACGUGACCCCAAUUAAUUGGGGCCAAUGAUCCCGGGACAAAGGCACAAAAGCAUCGAUCAAUGUACACCCAUUUGUUAGCGUAUCACAAAUAAAUGGAUAAUGGCAUGUUUAAAACGGAAGACACUCGAGAAUUAGUUGGGCUGAGUUUUGUUGCCCCGUCUAGUAGCCCACCACUCUCUUAUAUUGACGUGUUGUUGUCUCGAUCCAGGAUCUCUCUCCUCAUCUCCUCUAGCGCCUGCGCACAACGUUCUUUGUCCACUAGCUUCCUGUCUAACCUUCGCACCCUCUCCCCCAAUUCGACCUUGACCCUUAUAGGGACAACGUCCCCAGGUUACGAGACGGAGUAUCGACCCUGAAUCCCAACCACUUCGGACUCAUUUGGCAGGAUUGUGGUUGUGGCUGAAUCGACUCCCGUUGUGGCUCCUCUGAUGAAGCAGUUUUUCUGAUGGAGCUAAAGCCAUUCUGUAGUAAAACGACUUCUCCUGCAUUUUUAGAAAUGGAUAUAAGAGGUCAAAUAUCAUAUAUGCCCUUAGCUGUGUGGUUGUGUCAAAUGUCCAAUGAGAUUUCAUAUGAAAUUAAAAAGAUUAGUAAAUAGAUUAAUAAUUAUAACUAAAAAUAAAUCCAUCUUUUUAUUUACAUAGGUAUCCUCUUUUUUCAUUUUUUCACCGAGCUUUUUUUCCACCGCAUCUUUUUCUUCUUUUUUAACGCGUCCUUUUCCAACGUAUCUUUGUUUUUUACCGGCCUUAUCUUCUCCCAUGACCAACGCUCCUGUAUUUCUUCCUAUCUCCAUCCUUAUUUGAGCAGGGCCCUCUCGUUGACCCGCCGCUCUGCCAUGCUCGGCGCGCCACUCCCCUGUCGCAAGGCCGCAGGCCGCGCUGACUGCUCCAACCCAAGGCGCCGCCCCCUCGUCGUCUCAUUCCGGCUCCUACGCACCGCUUCCUCGCCACCCAACUCUGCUCCGGCCUGGCGCGUCGUCCCCCGCCGCGCCGCUCUGAUCCGGUGAGUGGCAUUUUGAUUGUAGUAUAUACGAGUUUAAGGGGUAAUUUGUCCUUAUGCAUGCGGGGAUGGAGGAGAAGUCGCAGGAGCCACUUUUUUCAGCUCCCGCAACACGUGACGGCUUCUCUCAGCGGGAUUUGGGGGGCUUCUCCUCCGGAGCCAUUUUUGCUGCUGCCGUUUGGCAGGGCUUGGGGUGGAGCCGAUGGAGAAGCACCUCCCAAAGCCCUGCCAAAGAGGGUCGUCGUGUUAUUGGUCCUUGACGUUGCAUGUCCUGUCCCAUGGGCCAUAAAUCCGUAUAAUUCGCUAUCCCACUGGUUCACAUGCAUGUUCUUCGCAUGGAAGUGCUGACACGCCUAGGCGCCUAGCUGGCGACGAAUGUGCCAGUACUCACUACUCAGUACGAGGCAGUUGGACGAGCUUCUAUUCUUUGGGUUGUAAUUAAUUAGUGAAAGAGAAAAUGCUUGGCUAUACUAUCAUGCUCAGGUGAUAUUGCAAUAUUGUUCAAUAAAUCGAAACAAACUCUAGACUGACAGAGAAGGGAGUAUCAGGUGGUUGUGCCUGGUGCGAGAGAAGAUAAACACACAAAGGGGAUGAACUAUCUUCCUCCCAAAAGAAUUCUUUGUCGAGGCGCUUGGCAAUAACAUAGUUCAUUUGACUUGUGCACAAAUGGCGGGCAUUCCGCUCGGCCUCAAGGUUGCUGAGGCUGAUAAACUGCCCAGGGUAACAGGUCCCAGAUAUGAAAUUACUCAGAGGAAAACGCAGUACGUAGUUUAAGCUGACUCUGAUAAUUUUCUAUGUUCUUCCUUUAGUUUUCUCUUCAAGUUACUCGCAAUCAGGCCAGGACGGCCAGCUUCAUCCAAUGUAAUUUAUGACUCGUACUGUGUUAGGUGUUUGCCGUUAUUUCAUCACAGGACUUGAAAACUAUUUUAAUUUGCAGCCUGUAGUUAAGCCGGAGCUGCACGUACCCUCUGAUAAUCUGAUUUCUCUCCCCCUUGUUCUUCUACGUGUUACAUAUAUUCAGCUCCAGAAACUCUCUCGAAGCUUUGCCUCCUUACACAGUUGUCUUGUAAUCCAAAGAAGCGCAAGAAAUACUACAAAGAUACAACCUGCGAUAGAAUUAUGCAUGGAUCAUGUCCACUCAGAGGUGCUCUCUAGGGAUGCGUAGGACUAGGAUGCAUCGGGAUCGUGAUUAACCCUAUGCAUCUCUAAGGAUGGAAGCAAAGCAUGACUCGUGCCUCGGUUCGAAGCAGCGAUACCACUGCGAUCACGUCGGACGUCAGCCAGAUCUUCAUAUACUGUGGAGAGGGACAGCUUCUGCUGAGACACGCGAUGUGCUACGGUACAGUUGGCUAAACACUUUCGUUCCAAAACGCCACACCAUACGCGAGUGUUGUAACGUAGUGUUGUUGUUGCGUGAGUAGUUAAGGAUCUGGAAAAGUUUCUAGUACGCAUUUAUCGACCAAGCAUCUGAACCACAUCCAACCACCAAAGUGCUCGGGAUGCUUACUGCAAACCCUUUUACUGCCACCAUGCCUAGAGAGGAGAAUUUCUCUUCGAUUGAAGAGUUGAAAUUCGACAGCGAAGUCGAAUGCAUCGUGCUCAGAGAUUGGCUUGGGAGGCAUCAGGAAUGUAGCUAGCAGAGCUUUCCAGGAAUAUCUUGUGAUGGUGCAUUACGUACACUAGAAAAGGAUGAAUAUCUCCAGGUACUCCAACAGCCCAAGGUGGAGUGGGCCCAAACAACUUCGAAAAAUUGGUGCCAAUCAUUGUACUUGUAUCGUAGCUGUGGAACUAGUCUAGUGUACACGAGGUGGUGAGGAGGACAUCAAUUAUUAGCUAGCUUGUUCAGAUUUCCUUCUUCUUUUCCUUCACCUCUCAACCCUGCUGCUGGCACGAGCUAGUCUAGUUGUGGCUUUUGCUUGCUCCGUCCGAUAUUUUUAAUGGACCUUUCCUUGUGCUCGCACCAUCCUCUACUCUGGACGGAAGGCAUGACUAUGCUAGCCAGCGGCUGGGUACGUGUUCAGAGCAGAGAUGGCAGGCCGUGCGUGUUAGGCGUCAAGGGUGGGCCAUAACUCACUCAUCUGGACUUCAAAUUGAACAUUUUACAAACGCAUUUCAAUCAUCUCCACAAGAUCUAUGCAAAGGUGAAAUCCAAUAAUAAGUGGUUUGGUAAUGUCUACAAAAGAUUGUCCAGGUUGACCGACAAACAUGUUGUGCAAUGGACAUGUGCAUAAGUGGCAGGCAUUCCGCACCGCAUCUAGGUUGCCGAGGCUGAUAAACUGCCGAGAGUAACAGGUCCUAUAUAUGAAAAGUACUCGGUAUAUGAGGUCAAAGCAAUCAGCUUCGAACAAAAGGAGAUGAACACGCUUUUGCAGCCAGUAGUUAAGCCGGAGCUGCACCCUCCGAUAGUCUGAUUUCUCUCCCCUUGUUCUUCAAUGUGUUACGAAUAUUUGCUUGAGCAGUUUAUAAGCUCCUGCCUCAGCUACAGAAAUUCUCUCAAAUCCUGCCUCCUCACAGUUGUCUUGUAAUCCAAAGAAGCGCAAGAAAUACUACAAAGAUACAAGAUGUGAUCGAGUUAUGCCUGGUCAUGUCCACUCAAAAGUGCUCUCGAGCGAUGUGUACAAGUAAUAGGGUGCAUCAGGAUCGUGAAUGUCCGUAUGGAUCUCUAACUAUGGAAGCAGAGCAUGGCUCCUGACUCGGUUCGAAGCAGAGAUACCACUGCGACGUCAUUCACGGCAUCAUAGGUCGUGCGUGCCGUCGCGGAUAGUCGGGAUAGGGAAGAUGCGCUACGGUACAGGUGACAGUCCUGUGUUGCCAGGUGAGCAUCGUAUGUGAAUGUGAGGCUGCCAUGUUUCACCGAUGAUCAAAGCACCUGAAUAGCAAAAUAUUGUGUAAAAAUUAUUAGUUGUCGGUCCUUGUCCCUGUUCUCUCUUAAUUGCAUAAUUACAUGGGUAUCAACAGUAUAUAGGGAAUUUAGGUUACAGCUUCAAAAGCAGAAUUUAUUGGGUGUUUGUAAUGUCACCUUUGCACCAUUGAAUUUUUGCCGCAUUUUACAUUGUAGCGAGGCAUGAUGAACAUUAUACACACAAUGUGAAGAGGAAAAUGAAACAAACAUAGGAUUGAUGAAAUUUAGUGUAAUAUAUAGUUAAACCUCAAAACCAAGCCUAAAAACCAGCCAGUGGAUUAACAAAGACACAAAUUAUUUCAUUUAAUCAAAAAAAGGUAGUAUAAUACCCUCUCCUUGGGCUGAAUUGGAUAAACAAUUUUAUAAAAGAAUAAAUAUGCAAGGAUUGAAUAAUUCCAUGUAGAGUGCAGAUGUUUGCAGCAUUAAAGGAUAUCUGGGGCCUGGGAGGUAAUGCUGCACUGCUUAUCUGAAUUCAACCGUUCAACUAGGACGCAGCAGGCAUGGAUAUGUAUACAUGUGUUACUUACAGAAGUAGACUGUCAAAAUGGCCAUUUAACCUCUAACAUUACACGCUUCACCCACUACAUAACGCGUUUCAGUGACUUCCUUGCACUCAAUACUGUACUCAGUAAUGUGUGAUGAACUAGAAUUCACUGAAAUUUUCAUGGGAAGGACCACCGGAGCAAAACUCAUAAAAGGAAAUUCACCCUUGCAUGUAGCAUUGUUGUGCUAUAUAUACAGUACCAUGUCCAAGUCCAGUUGAAUGUCGCAUGGGCAGAAAUUCAGCUAAUUUCCGUGAAAGUGUAGCUAAUUUCCGACCCAAUCUGUGCCCGGCGCGUGCCCAGGCCCAUAGCAAUCCUGAUCUCAUCUCCUUCCAGAUCCCCUUCUCGCUAGUGCAUCGCGGCAUGGACUACGUUCGUGGCUGGCCGGCUCCUGAGCUUCAAGGAGCUCAGCCGGGACUGCCACCACGACGAGGCAGUAAAGAAGGAUGUCAGCACAGCUGGUGAACAAGCUAGAUAUCAUUAUGAGAUCGAUAUCUACUUGGGAACGUUCCAAAUCUUUUGGCGCAUUCUCAAUUUAUCGGAGAAAGUCCCAAGUGCCUAAUGCUUACAUGAGCAACACAAAUGGCGGGCAUUCCGCUCAACCUCUAGGUUGCUGAGGCAGUGAGGUUGAUAAACUGCCCAGAGUAACAGGUCGCAGAUAUAAAAAUUCUCAGAGGAAAAUGCAGCUCACUCUAGUGAUUUCCUCUCAUCUUUCUUUAGUUUUCUCUUCAAGUUACUCGCAAUCAGACCAGGAGGGCCAGCUUCACCCAACACCCAAUGUAAUUUAUGACUCGUACCAUGUUAGGUGCUUUGCUGUUAUUUCAUCACACGACUUGAACACUCAUUUGCAGCCAGUAGUUAAGCCGGAGCUGCACGGCUGCACCCUCUGAUAGUCUGAUUUCUCUCCCCUUGUUCUUCGACGUGUUACAUAUGUUUUCUUGCGCAGUUUAUAAGCUUCUACCUCAGCUACAGAAAUUCUCUCAAAGCUUGCCUCCUCACAGAUGUCUUGUAAUCCAAAGAAGCGCAAGAAAAUACAAAGGUACAAGAUGUGAUAGAGUUAUGCCUCGAUCAUGUCCACUCGAGUGCUCUGUAGCGAUGUGUAGGACUAGGAUGCAUCGGGAUCGUGAUUACCUCUAUGCAUCUCUGUGUAUGGAAGCAGAGCACGACUGCUGCCUCGGUUCGAAGCAGAGAUCGCACUUCGAUCGCGUCGGACGUUAGCCGGAGGUUCAUAGGCUGCGGAAAGGGACGGCUUCAGAUGAGACACGCGAUGCACUGCAGUAUAGUUGACUGUCCUGUGUAGCCAGGGCUCAGGUGAGAAAGAGCUGCCCUGUUGCACCGAUGAUCAAGGCACCAGACUAGCAAAACAUUGUGGGGGCGUUUUCUUCCAGUGACUUAUUUUUAGCACGUGUCACAUCGAAUGUUUAGAUACUAAUUAAGAGUAUUAAACGUAGAUUAUUUACAAAACCCAUUACAUAAGACGAAUCUAAACGGCGAGACGAAUCUAUUAAGCCUAAUUAAACCUAAUUAAUCCAUCAUUAGCAAAUGUUUACUGUAGCAACAUAUUGUCAAAUUAGGCUUAGUAGAUUCGUCUCGCCGUUUAGAUUCGUCUUAUGUAAUGGGUUUUGUAAAUAGUCUACGUUUAAUACUCCUAAUUAGUAUCUAAAUAUUCGAUGUGACGGGUGCUAAAAAUAAGUCAGUGGAAGAAAACGGGGCCUGUGUAAAAAAUUAUCAGCUGUCGGUCCUUUCUCCUUGUCCCUUGUGCUCGAUCUCCUAUUGUUGACGUGGGUAUCAACAGUGUGCAGGGAAUUCAGGUUAUAACCUCAGCAGCAGAAUUAAUUGAGGGUUUGUAAUGUCACUUUUGCACCGUUGAUUUUUUGCCACAUCUUAUAUUGCAGUAAGGCGUAAUUGUACACAUAAUGUGAAGAAGAAACUUAAAGAAACGUAGUAUUGAUGAAAUGUAAAUAUAGAGUUAAACGUGAAAACCAAGCUUAAAAACCAGCCAGUGGAUUAACAAGACAGUCCAAUAUAUAUGCUCUUUGGAUUGAAUUGGAACUGGGAUAAACAAAUUAAGUUAUGAAAUAAGCAAGGGUUGAAUAUUUCCUGGUAGAGUGCAGAUGUUUGCAGCAUUAACCGAUACUGGAGUCUGCAGGCCUCUCGAGACUCGAGAGCAGUACGCCAAGGUCUCGAAGUCUGACAAGACGCUAGCUCGGCUGCACUGCUCUGAAAAUGGUAUUAGAACUUCUGUUAGGGGGUAUUGGAUACACCCCAUAAAUUUUAGUACCCGUCACAUCGGAUGUUUUGGAUACUAAUUAGGAGUAUUAAAUAUAGUCUAAUUAUAAAACUAAUUACACAGAUGGAGUCUAAUUCGUGAGACGAAUCUAUUAAGCCUAAUUAGUUCAUGAUUUGACAAUGUGGUGCUACAGUAACCAUUUGCUAAUGAUGAAUUAAUUAGGCUUAAUAGAUUCAUCUCGCGAAUUAGUAUAGGGGUUCUGCAGUUAGUUUUAUAAUUAGCUCAUGUUUAGUCCUCCUAAUUAGUGUCCGAACAUCCGAUGUGACCCCUUCUAAAGUUUAGUACCCGCAUCCAAACACCCCCUUACUCUACAUCGCCCCAGAAAACAUGCGAUAGUAGCAAACAGGCCAUGACGCCCAGCUUCACUGAAUGUAACUUAUCACUUGUACAGUGUCCAAUGUUAGGUUCUUGCCAUUACAUAGAUGACAUGAGUUCAACUUCUUUUCCAGCCAGUAGUCAUGCCAGAGCACCUCUUAUUUCUUUACCCCUUUCCCUUCAUAUGUGUCAUAUACUUUCUUGUGCAGUUUAUAUGCUCCUGCCUCAACUACAGAAUUCUCUCAAAAGUUUGCUUCCUAUCUUCUAAUCUAAUCCUAUGCCAGCCACUUCUAAUCUAAUCCUAUGCCAGCCACUAGGGAGGGUAUGGGCAAACCCACUCUUAUUCACAAUCAAAUCCAAAUAAUUAUUAUCCACUCCUUACCCUCACCAAUCCUACCCAUAUCCGAUGGAUAAUUAACUUUGUACUACAUAUAUAUACAUAUCCAAUUAAUUACCCUACCUCUCCAUUUCUAAUAAGUAUAUAAUUUUCUACCCAUACCUUCCCCAUUUGAACUGAGUGUGAAUUUAGGAAGAGGGUACGGAUACCCAGAGGCAGGCCUAUCUAAUCCAAAGAAUAAAGUGAGAAAUACACAGAUCACAACAUGCGAUAGAGUUAUGUCUCUGUCCUGGGCUCAUGGUCACUCAAAAGUCUAUAUAGCCAUGAGCAGGAUUAGGAUGCAUCAGGAUCAUGAUUAUCUGUGGAAGCAAAUUAAAGUACUCCGUACUAUACCAUGCUACCUGGUUCUGCAGCACCUGCAGCACCGGGAUUUCGAGCGUUGGAUGUCAGGACACGGGGUGCGAUAGGAAGUGGAGAGGGAAAUACUACCUAGGGUCUGUUUGGAUGAAUUAAAAUUAAAGUUUAGUUUUGAUUAAAGUUUAGAUAUCUAAUUUUAGUUGGUUAAAAUUAGCCCCGUCUUGUUUGGAGCCUGAGCUAAUUUUUAGCCCAUUUAUUGGUAAAAGCCAAUUAUAUUCUUAGGGAGUGGAGGAGAAAACAUGGUAAGAUUUUAGUGGAGGGUAUUUUUAAUCUUUUACCAUUUAUGUCUAAAUUAGCCUCCAUUAGCUAAGUUUGGUGGGCUAAUGAACUAAAGUUUAGUUGGGAGGUUGUCUAAUUUUUAGCCCAUUUUUAACCUCACUGUUUGAAUCAUCGGGGCUGUAUCGAAACACGACGCGCGACGCGACCCGCUGCCGUGAUGUCGCGAAAGGGGCAGCAGCAGCCGCUGUCGCGCUGAUGUCAACUGGCAGCCAGUGUCUUCCAAGAAUACCAAUGCAAAGCAUAGGCGCAUAGCAGACUAGCAGAGAAUUGCCAGAGUGGGUUAUAAGCCUGCAGUGAGAAACCACUCAUCCCAGUGGAUGGACAAUGAUAUACUUCCAAUCUUCCAUUGCUUUGACGAUGAUGGUUUCCUGAAACGAGAUGAUAAUUUGUAUUGUCAAGCUCACUUUUCAUUUUCUUUUUUACUGAAUGCGUAAUGAUCUCCAAGACCUACCAAAAAUCUGAGACCAGGUCUGUUACUCUGUUGCCCUAGAUCUUUUCCACCUUUAUUUUUCUCAAGCGACUAGCAAUCAGGGCAUGAUGGCCGGCUUCACAAAAUGUAAUUUAUCAUAUAUGCAGUGUUAGGUGCAUGCCAUUAUUUUAUCACAUGACCUCAGUAUCCUUUUGCAGCCAGUAUUAGUUAAGCAGGAGCAGCCUCCGAUGAUGCGGUUCCUCUCCCCUUGAGCAGUUUAUAAGCUCCUGCCUCAACUAAAGAAAUUUCCUUAACGCUUGCCUCGUUAGUCGUUGUCUUCUAAUCCAAAUGAGGGCUAGAAAUACAAAGAUAAAAUAUGCGAUGGAGUUAUGAUUCGGUCAUGCAUGUCCACUCAAAAGUGCUCUGUUGUAGCGAUGUACGAUUGGGAUGCAUCUGGAUCGUGGUUUUCUGCAUUGCUCCACCAGAACGGAAGCACACGUCUCUGCUGCCUUGGUCGAGACAAGGGUGAGGCACUGUGAUCGACGGGCGUUGAGGCCGGAAGCACAGGCAGCGGAAAGAGACGGCUCCAGCUGAGAAAACACGCGACAUGGUAUACGUGGCGUGUGGCCUCGUGUUCGUAUGGGCUCGGCGACCAUCCCGUGCUUUCGCGUUCCGCCUUCUAUGGCACGGCUGCAGCAGCCACCACCUUUCGCGCGACAGCACCAUUCUGUACGGUGCGACAUCGGCACCAGCGCCGCCGUAGUCCGUCGCAGGCGCUCCGGACGCCAAUGUGCUGGGCAUGGCCUUGGUGAUGCGCAAAAAACACGGGCGCCCACGCAGCAUGGCUUAAUUUUAACGCUGGCCCCAAUUUUCUUCGCUUCCGCCAGCGGUGGCGUGGCCCCCGGCCAACAGCAGAACAACGCGUUCUCCAUCGGCAACACCCUAUCCGACCCCAAUCUUUAAAGAUAAACCAAAUGAUCCUUUUUGGGUGACAGAAUUUCCUUAAUCAAUCCCAGUUGUCCGAUUCUUGUUCACGUAGAGUGACUCAAGCUGCAAUAACUGAAGCAAACUUUGAUAAUUUUAUGCUUCUUUCAUUAUCCUCUUCCUUCAAGCGAGUAGCCCUAUGUAAUCUACCAUUUGUGCAGAUGUGUCAAUUGGCAUUUUGUGUUAUGUACUUCGUAUUAGUUCAUUGCCUCUCGCCUAUGAAAUGCCUUCAACGUCCUUUUUGCAGCCAGUAGUUAAAUGCAGCACGGACCACUUGAAUCCAAUAGGUUGUCUUCAAAUGUGGUCUUCCUUAUAAGAUCCAACCAGUGCUCUGCUAAUAAAAAUCAUCUCCUCGGUCCUCAGUCCUCCCUGCAGGCCAUAUACAAGAGAUUGACCAAGAUGGCUCAGUUAUGCUUUCCACUCCAACCUAUAGUGCAGGUAUAGGAUGCAUCAGGUAUGCGGUUGUCUUGAUGGCACUUCAGUGUUCUCGUGCAUACUUUGCCGUAUGGAAAGAAUAGUUUCUCCAAGCUAGGUUGAUUGCAAAAUCAGCGCUUUUUGGGAUGAUUCAGUAGUAAGACAUCUGGUUAGAAUAGUAUGUAAAAAUUAAGCGCUCAUGUCACCCGUCAGCACAAAUGCAUUUCUGGUGGCGACUUUUAGCAUGCUGGUCCCGGGGUCCUUUGUGGUGGCGGGUGGUAAUUAGACCCGUCAGCAAUCAAAAAUCCAUGUGCCAACACAAAUGGUUUUUGACGUAGUGAUUGUACGUCAUAGCUACAAACUCAACUACAGGUUAUGGCUAAUAAUAUUCUACUAGGACUGAGUAACAGUACAGUUCGGGAAUCCUAGGACUACAUUGAACAAGAGAUCUGUUAAAAAAAAUUACCACUGAAUAUCUGCAACUGUGUUAUUACACAAGAGCCUGAUGCAAAUGUAGUAUGGUGUGAACAGAAAAUUUAAAAAGGUACAGUAGGGUUUAUCCAAUGUAGUUCUAUAUACCAUAUAACCAAAACUGAAUUUAUCAAAACGACCUGUUAAUAAGUGGAUUAGCAGAGAUAGUGAUGUGGCGUGGGCCUAUUACCUGAAAUGUUAUGCAGUGGUGCACCACUACAUAUUGAUAUAGUUGUCAUCCAUAAGAAAAAAUAAUCAGGCCAUGACGCCCAGCUUCACUGAAUGUAAGUUAUCAUUUGUGCAGUGUUCGGUUUCUUGCCAUUACUUACAUGUCAUGAGCUCAACAUUCUUUUCCAUAGAGCACCCUCUGUCCAUCUUAUUUCUUUACCCCUUUCCCUUCAUAUAUGCGCCUGCCUCAACUACAAAAAUUCUCUCAAAAGCUUUCUUCCUCACCGCUACCUUCAAAUCUAGCUAAUCCAAAGAAUAAAGUGUAGAAAAACGCAUAUCACAAGAUGUGAUAGAAUUAGUCCUCAGUCAUGGCCACUCAAAAGUCUAUCUAGCCAUGAGUAGGAUUAGGAUGUAUCGGGAUCAUGAUUAUAUGCGUGGAAGCAAAUUAAAGUACGAUAACUAUGAUUCCUGGCACUGCUGCACUGCGAUUUCAGGCUUUGGACGUCAGGACCAAGAGUGCAAAGGAAGUGGGGAGGGAAACACUGCUUAGUCGCGCCCGGGACCAAUGCCGUGAUGUCGCCGAAGGUGCAGCAGCAGGCGCUGAUGUCAACUGGCACUCUGGCAGCCGUCUUCCAAGAAUACCGAUGCAAAGCAUAGGCGCAUAGAAGAGUAGCUAGCAGAGCAUUGUCUUGGACUUUUGUUCAUCAGCAUACACGGAGAAACGUCAAAAAUAAUCUGGUUUGACGAUGAUAUACUUCCACUCUUCCAGUGCUUUGACGAUGAUUUACUAUCUGGAUUUCUGAAUUGAGGUGACAAUUUGUAAUCUCAAACUCACUUUCCUUUUCUUUCCAUUUUACGGAAUGUGUAAUAAUCUCCAAGACCUACCGAGAAUCUGAGACCAGCUGGUCUGUUACUCCGUUGCGAAUUUCCCUAGAUCUUUUCCACCUCUAUUUUUCUCAAGUUACUAGUAGUAAUCUGGGUAUGAUAGCCGGCUUCACGCAAUGUAAUUUAUGACGUGCAGUUUUAGGUCCAUGCCAUUAUUUCAUCACAUGACUUCAACAUUCUUUUGCAGCCAGUAGUUAAGCGGGAGCAACCUCUGCUGGUUUGAUUCCUCUCCCCUCGAGCAGUUUAUAAGCUACUGCUUCAACUAAAGAAAUUCUCUCAAAGCUUGCCUCCUCAGUCGUUGUCUUCUAAACCAAAUGAGGGCAAGAAAUACAAAGAUUAAAGAUGUGACAGAGACUAGGGUUAUGCAUGCUCACUCAUAAGUGCUCUGUAUAGCGAUUAGGAUGCAUCGGGAAUCGGGAUCAUCGUGGUUUUCUGCAUGGCUCUCCCAAACGGAAGCACACGUCUCUGCUGCCUUGGUUGAAAGAGGAACAGAGCAUGGCGAUCGAUGGACGUUGAGGCCGGAAGCAUAGGCAGCGGAAAGAGACGGCUUCAGCUUUUGCUUCAGCUUCUUUACGGGAAAGUAGCAGCGGGCGACCCGUUUUGGAAUCCGAAGAGUUUUUGCGUUCCUUCCUUUGGGCUAAGCAGCAUGCUCCCUUUUUUUUAAGGUGGCUGAAAAUUCUGCUUCGCAAUCAUGGGCACAGGCUCAAAUUCUACUCCAAGAAGAGCGCAAAGAACACAAAGGCACAAGAUGUGAUAGAAUUAUGCCUCGGUCAUGCCCACUCAAAAGUGCUCUCCACCAGCGACGUGUAGGACUAGGAUGCAACGGGAUCGUGAUGAUCUGUAUGACUCGCAAACGGUGGCAGAUCACGACUCUACAGCCUCGGUUCAAGCACUUGCCAUAAUAGCAGUUUGUUUUCCUACCACCAGACUGAAAAGCUCAACAGAAAUUGGUGAGGUGAUAAUUGGUAAUCUCAAGCUCACAUUUCAUGACGUAACUGAAUGUGUAGUAACUCAUACUGCAGUAACUAAAGCAAGCUUUGAGAAUCAUCUCCUUGACUCCUUGUAUCUUUAUUUAUUUUCUUCAAGCGAGUAGCAAUUGGCCUACGGCAGCUUUGCCUUAUGUAAUUUAACACUUCACACUGAGGCUCCCUUUAAUAGCCUUUUAUGUUAUAUGUAAUAGUCAUUAGUUCAUCGCCUCAUUUAUCGCAUGUCUUCAGCGUCCUUUUGGAGCCAGUAGUUAACUAGCUAGAGUACGACUGUCCUCAUUCCUCAGUGUCCUCUUCUUAUAAACUCCAACCGGUCCAAAACUACACUGAAAGCCCUAGAAACAUGCUUUCGAGGUCCCAGCAGUACACAAGCUACUGAAGAAGAUGAAUCGGUCAUGCAUGUCCAUUGAAAUUGAAACCAAAAGCGCUCUACGCUCCAACCCAGCAUAGGAAUAGGAUGCAUCAGGGCAUUUACAUUCGGUGCUAAAUCCAAUCCUUGACGGAAAGAAUCACUUCAGAGAUGGCUCUUCUACUUGCUUUUGGAUGAUUCAGUCGUGAGACAUCAAAUUAGCAUAACAUAAACAGUUGUGCUAGUCCGAACAGCAACACUGUACCUAGGUUGUGCUUAACUGCAAACUCUGAGGCGUUGUAGGACAUUAAUAACAACGAAGAUUUUGGGAAUCUUAUGGCCAGAUAGAAUUACGAAUAUGUGCAGUCAUCGUUUUCACCACUAAAUUUUGGUAACGUCUUAUAUUACUGUAUUGACUGAUGAAAUGUAGUACAAGCACACAUGCAUGUUGUGCACAAGAAAUUGAAAAGCUUUAGUAGUACUGAUUAAAUGUGGUGCAACAUAGAGCCAAAGCUAAUAAGCUUAAUAAGUACCAAUUAAGUGGAUUAACAGAGAUACAGAUGUUCCCCUUCUGCCACCAAAAAAAAACAUUCUAGUUAUUUGUAUGUAUCAACAUAAUGAGAAUUAACAUGAAUUAUUACUGAUGCCAAAGAAAUAAUACUAAAGUCCUCUACUGCAUUUUGAUAAACCAAUUAAACUGCUAGUAACCGGCAAUCUUGAAAUAAUCUGCUAUUUAACAGCUGUGGAGGCAAUAUUGAACCGUUCGUCUAAACCAUCCAACCACCAGUACAGUCAGACAGAGUAAUAUACAUGUCUAGAACAAUAAAAUUUACAAAUCAUCCUUUCCUUUGGUAGACCUUUACGUUCUUUUAAUUUUUUUCUUCUCUUCUCCGAUGCUAUAACAAGAGGACACACAACUAGUAGAACCUUGCAAAUCGUUAUCAACCUCACAUGGUGUUCAAGCUUCAGCCAUCAUACAUUUGAUGGAAGAAUUCGCGUGCGAGAGAUGUAAUGAGAUUUAAGGUUCAUGCUCUAUUGGGCACCAGGUUAUAAACAAAACAGGAGUCACACUAGAUCGCUUACCAAGAUAGAGAAUUGUUGGACUGCAGCGGACCAUGUGUACUGGAAGGAAAUCGUGCUUUCUCUUGUUCAAUGUUGUCCACGACCACGAAAGCAACAAAUUAAGGAGGGAUACACCAACCGAACUGUAGAAAGUAUGCUUGUAUGCCCAAGCUUAUGGCCAAAUCUGUGCGCAUUCAUGCGGCAUACAGGCACUAGUGUUGUGUGUCCCGGUGGCACUAGCUAACUGCUGAGAGGGCUCACCUAAUAAACAACAACAAUCAAGUUCCCAGAUUUAUUCUUCUUAGCUUUUGUAAGGCAAACCUUUUAUCUGUUUCUCCUGUUCUCCCUCACCCUAAUCUGUUUCAUAACUCUGUUUUUGGUUCAACUUGUUGUGAUUGCCAAGGUUCCAUGGGUUCAUAACAUUCUUUUCACGGGCAAUAUUUUUUCUUGUCAGUAAAGUGAAUUUACAUCUAACCAGUGCUAAUUACCAUUCACCCGAUGAUUGCCAUCAUAGCGUCUAGGUAACUUCCAACCAUGGGCUCUCACUAGAAGACACUCCAGUUAGUUUCAGGGGUAAGGAUCAUUCAUGAUGACUGAAUUGUUGUUGUCUAGCAUAGUUGUAUCAAUACAUGUGUUCAAUGUACAGUAAUACACAUUGUUGGAUUAUGGCAAGUAGGUCAUGAAUAAAGCCUAUUUUGCCAUCUUAAUUUCCACACAGAUUGCUUCACUCAAUAUCCAGUGGACUAACCACUCUUUUUUAACAUUUCACUACAUAUAUAGGCAUGUUUUCAACUACCCUUUUUUUGUCAGUAGUCUUUCAUAUUCUCAUGUGUGCACCGUCCCCUUUUUGACAAUCUCAAUCGUCUUCAAAUUAAAUCCCAACAUAACUUUCUGCCUCACUACUGCCAAAUGCUAUUGGUGUGCUAUAUAAUAUACCCUUGCCCAAGUUGAGCGGGAGAUAGAACGUCGAGACUAGAGGCCGGAGAGAAUUCCUUUUUCUAAAGAAAAGUUGCUUCCAUGAAAUAGGCUUCCUAGCUACUAGGCUUGGAAGGCAUCCGGAGAGCAAUUAAUAGCUUAGAUUAUUUUCGUAAUACACCAAUACAGAAGACAACAAAAAAGUUGUAAGUCUACAUAACAAUCUGUUGGGUGGGCACAGCUCAUAACACUGUAGAUCACCCAUGCAACUUCAAUGCCAUCAAAGGUGACCUCCUGUUCCUCUCAACCUCUCAUCACCCACAGUACAACACUGUAGAUGAAAUCAUUAUGUACCGCGCACAUUAUUAUAUUUACCAAACUAAGAUGAAAUCAAUGUACAGGACUCCGACCUUGCCCCGGCCUAGCGCUAGUUGGCCUUACCACACCAAGUCAAAAGGCUCUCAGAACUCGCUUUCAAUUCCCACACUAAAACCGCCCAUGUCCACAUAUAUAGACUCAACAUAAAGUUCCCCUGAGAAUGGGCAUUACCACACCAAGUCUAUUAGGAUUAGGAUGCAUCGGGAGUUGGGGACUUUUGGUUAUUAUCUGCACGCACCAACCUGUGUGUUUGAAGGGGAUCGAAGCACAGCUAUGCAUACUGCGCCACCGCGGCAACGACAGCAUCUCUCUCAAGGCUAGCAUAGAAUGGAGUGGACAAGGCUAGCAGAUGAAGACAGAGAGAUACUCCAGGUGACGGUGUCUGUGACUACGCCACAAAAGUGGAGACCUAAAGUAAUAUUAUAGUUCAACGCCAGAUUCGAAUGUGAACCGGCUGGCACACCUAGGUCAUGUUUAGUUCCCUCUAAACUCCCAACUUUGACACUAUGAAAAAAAAAAAUUUCCCAUCACAUCAAACUUGCGGUACAUGCAUGGAGUACUAAAUGUAGACGAAAUAAAAAACUAAUUGCACAGUUUUGUUGUACUUUGCGAGACGAAUCUUUUAAGCCUAAUUAGUCAAUAUUUGGACAAUAAUUUACAAAUACAAACGAAACGCUACAGUUGCGCAUUUAUAGCAAAAUGCCAAUUUUACCACUCUCAAAUUGGGAACUAAGACAGUUAGCUAGGACUAGCAGGAAAGGCAAGCAUUGUGUAAAAAUGAGAGCUUAUGUUGCCGAACGCCAUGACAUGAUGUACAUUACAAACAUAGGUGGCAGAAAUUGAUGCGUUGUGACGUAGGGAGGUAGCACUCAACUGUGUCCAUCCCAAACUUCCAAACACCAGGAUAGCAGUUACCUGGGGAUAUCAAUGCUAGUCUCCUGUCUUUUUCUCCUUUGAUCGUUCAUAAAAAUAAAUUCUCCUCCACGUCUUUUUCCUCUGAUCUCUCUGGCUCCCUUGCUAAAGCAGAGCAAUGCUGUAGCGUGUUCUCCUCACUGCACAACCCUCUGCAGAGGCCAUGGCAGCAAAGGAAGGCUUGGAGUUGGCAACAGAGAUCGGCGUUGGGAAGAUGAUCAAUCUCGCGCUGAAGCGGACGCUGUUCAAUGUUCCACGUAAAUGCAAAAAAAAAAAAACGACGAACCUCAAAGCAUAAUAGACUAACAUGAAUUUUUUCUGUAAGCAAAACGAAAAAUCUUUCGAGACAUGGAUAGGCUUAAUAAACAAUGUUCAGGCAUAGCCAACAUUUAUCAUCUAUGUAAAUCAUUUCAAACUGUCUGUCAAGUUGGUUCACAGUUGAAAGCAAGUAAACGGAGAAGUACUCCCUCUGUUUCUUUUUAUAAGGCAUACUAGAAUUUGAAAAGGAUAUAUAUUCAAAAGUGUACUUUGACAAUAAUUUCUCUUACAAUUUAUAGUUUGCUACCAUAUUAAAAUAUUUGUGAAAUGGUAGCUUAUGUUACUUCGCUACUCCCUGCAUGCCUUUUCAUAGGACGGAUCUCAUUUCUCCCAACCAUUCUAAAAUUUCUCUUUCGUAUUUGUCUGCUGAACCACUUGUAGAUGCUAUAUUGCCAUCAAACGGUGACAAUAUAUGAAUAUAUAGUUGCAAAAAAACAAAUGUAUAUUAGAAUAUAUGGUAGUAGUCAUUGUAAAGCUACCACUGCAAAUUAUUAGUAGGUCCAAUGUAUGUCAGGCGCUAGAAGCUAUAGCUGAAAGAAAGCAUUGGACUACCUGCCUCUCUCUUAAAGUUCAACACAUGUCAUCUGAGUCUUCAGUCUUGCGCUUCUACUAACUCAAGUGCCUCCUUAAUUUAGCACUCCUUUUCUCUAGUAGUCUAAGACUUCUAAGUGCUAGCUCCAAAUUCAUGGCCAUCGUUGAUCUAUCUCUUCUUCUUCCCAUCAUUCUCACACUCAAUCUUACUUCCAAAUUCGAUAACCUAGCCCAAAACUUGGUUUAGACUUAGGAGGCAUCAAGAAUACAUUAACCAGACAAAAGCAAAAUAAACUUACAAUCUUGUGCAGUUCUUUGUGUGGAGAUUUACAUGGAUGUCCAAAAAGGAUAACAACACACUAUAAUGGAGGCCUUAGCUAGAAAUCCAAUAUAAGUCUUUUUUUUCGAAACAAACCAGGCAGGAGGGCUGCCGAUUAUAUUAAAAAGAAAAGAGAUCUCAGACCGGGAACAGCAACAGAGCCAUAAAAGUAGCUCCCAACGGAUAGUGCCAACUCAACUCAACACAAAAUAAAAAAGAACUUGAUGGCCAGUUCGAUUGAGACAUCGACACAAGCCACACAAUGCUAACGCCUGAGCAGCGACCACCACUCAGCACCACCACCCAGCAGAAAAAGCCGACAAGUAGCUCUUAUCGCCAGUGUUGUCGUCUCCGACGAUAUCCCACGCCGAACCAAUCGCUGCCACGCAGGACUGGCCGCCGCAGCCCGCUGCAAGCCAUGUAGCUACCAGGGCUUCUCCACCAUGUCGUCUUCGGCCUCAGGUCCCACACACACGGUCGUCGAUCUCCCAAUCACGGCUUUAUGUUAGUAUAAGUCAAGAGAGGAGCACACUGCACCACACCGAAAAGACCACCACUCUGCAGGACCCAACAUCGAAGCACCGCUGCCGCACCGUGCACACCAAACAACCAAAACACCGCACCGGAUCUGACCCUCCAAGGCAACUCAAAAUGCGUGGGGGCCUCGCCACAUCCACCACCGCACACCACUCCUCGAACACAUCACCUUAAAGCGAACAGGGGCCUCGCCACUUCCGCCGCUGGACUCCACACCAAGGAUCCAGACUUGCUUUGCCAUCAGAGAUGGCAUGGUGCCAUCGAGCUACUCCAAUAACUUCGCCUCCAUCUUGCCGCCAUCGGAAUCUCAGCAGUAUCAUGUGCACAGACACAAAACUUCCCGCAACAAUGGCUCAACACCACCUCUGCCGCCCCUGAGCCGCCACCACCUACCACUGCACGCCUAGCCUGCUCGCUGCCACCGCUCUACACCACCGAGUCCACACUCGGAAAUCGUUGGCACACCUCCACUCCAGCAUGCCGCUCCGAGCCGCACCGCCGCAUCCACCCCCCGCCGUGGAUUGGUCGGGGUCGGGGCCGGCUUGCCUCCUCUUGGACUGGGCAUUGCCGCCGCCGCCGGUGGCCGGGUGCUGGGUGGCGUCGCUAGCGCUGCAUGGGCUCCCGUCGCGGGACCUCGACGAGUCCGCCCCCGCCAAGCCAUAGGACCCGGAGAUGCAGAUGGACCGGUCAAUGGACAAUGCCAGCUCCCUGCAAAGCUCGCCUCAAACCUUCCUCACCGCCGGCAGGUCCUGCUAGUCCAUGCGCACGCCCAGCUCCCUCACCAUGCGCCGGUCAUCCACUACCCGGUGCGCUGCCGCUGUCGCGUUGCCGCCCUCCGUUCCGCUCGUCGCUUGCCAGAAUGUGGCGGGGGCGGCGGAUCCGGGGGCGGGGAAGCCGGACCCGCCCACGGCCCUGCCAGAUCCGGGCUACCGCCGCUCCGGCGCGCCACCCGGCCAUGACCCUUGUGCCAUCCCGCCCCAACGAAACGGGCCCGCACCGGGCAGUUUGCCCCACCGGCACCGUCCUUGGGGGCUGCACGGGCUUUCAGCGACCCCCUUCGGCAACGGCGAGGUGGGCUCGAGGGGCAGAGGGGUGGUUGGUGGUGGCUGCUAUGGUGCCGCCCAUGUCAUCGGGGUGGGGGAGGGGGGCGACGCGGAAGCAUUGAACGAACAACGAAAGAAUAUCUAGCAUAAAUCCAAUAUAAGUCCAUUUGUUCUAUUUUGUCCAUUUGUUCUAUUUUGUAAGUUGGAGGCUAUCUGUUAGGAAAACUAGUCAUUGUGGUUUUGGAUGCACAAGUCCUAAAAGUGUACUAAAAGUGGACUUCUAAUCUUUAGGAGGGUGUAUCCAAACAGGGCCUAAUCCAUAGAUGCUCAUUAUUGUCACUCCCUUUUCACGAUGCAGAUUGUCACGUGGGGGCAUUUUAUUACAUUCUUGAGUCAGCAAACAGUGAAAUCCGUGCUUAAUUAUUUCCUGCGCACAUGUUGAGAGUUGAGAUAAUUUCCUGUGCACAUGAUUGUUUCUCAUCUUCAUUAGCUAGAUAAAACUGUUGCGCUUCGAUUCCAUUGAAUAUAUACACCAAAAAUUCACUCAUUGAUUGGAACAAGGAGAAACAUCUGUAUACUGUUCUUUUUGUAGCUCAAGGUUAUAAUGGCAUAUAUUAAUUUGAAGAUUAUAUGUACUUGGAUAAUUAAUUGAUUAGAGAUAGGAUGGUGCUCCAGUGGGUUCUUAAUAAAUAUUAGAUAUUCAUAAAUUUAGAUAUCAAAGAGUUUAGAGUGUGGGAGGAGAAAAUUUCUGGACCAGGAAGGACAACCGAAGCUCCCAAACCUCUCUGCUCGCAGUCCAAAUUUAAAUUAGCUCUCUCGAAAUGCAAGUAAUUUGAAGGAUCCAAAAACAAUGUAAUGUGCCAAUGUGGGCCACCUUGUAAGAAGGAUCCAAAAACUUGAAGCUCUAGUGAAAACAUGAGCCGAGUAAUUGGAAGUGAAGUGAAAUGGUCCACGAUAAGAGUUUUCUGCUGAACCGAAAGUGCUUCUUUCAAAAUCAUCAGACCUGAAAUUUCUGAACCAGAAAAAUGAGAUCUGCUGCCCUCAGUCCCUCAUGAUGCUGAGUAGAUCAUCAAAAUCAAGCUUCCAACGUGACCCACCGAUGAGAGAGCGCUCCGUCUGAGGCCUAACGGUCAAAAAAUUCGAAACCCCCGCACUCCGCGCUCCAGGUCCAUACACCGGAACCAUCCUGUCCGUCCAUCCCGCUCGCUCGGACAAACGAACGUCUAGAUGCUGCUCCCAGUCCACCGGCCUCGCCAAUUUCGAACCCGUUAAAACCCCCGCCGCCGUCGCCCUCCCCCAACGGCCAAAUCCCCAGCCAUUUAGAGCCGUAGCCCGUGGCACCACCACCAGGCACGAACCCUAGGAAAAUCUACCCAGAAAUCCCCCACCCGAAUCAGGGCUGUAUCGUAGGGAGUAGUCGUCGCGAGGAUCGGACAGGCGCGGAUCGGGGAGGAUCCGAGCAAAUCGUAAGUAAUUUUGUGGCUUCUGGGAGGAUUUGGGGGUGGUUUUGUUUUGCUGCGAUUUUCCGAGCGGUUUGGUGAUGGGGUUUUUUCCUCUGCUUCUGUUCUUGCAGAUCCGCGGGAGCGUAAGGAUUGGAGUCCGGGAUUCCGGAGCGGCGCGGUAAUCUAUCAGAGGUAAGAAUCACGUAGCGGGUGGAGGUGGGGAUUUGGUUGGUUAUUUGGGUUGAUUUUGCCGGUUCGCCCCCAAUCGCUCUCUUCAGAAGCGUUUCUUUGGGUUCUUUAUGUGCGAAUCCCUGGGGAGGUAGAGGGUUGAGGCGGGAUUAUGAGUAGAAAGGUUGCGGAUUAGGUGGUUUCGGUGUUUCUUGAGGCAAUUUCUUCAUGCUGUCGAUGCUUAUCCAUGGGUCUUGUCUGCAUUACGUCGUUCUUGCAGGUAGGCAUCUUAGAGUCGUAGGAAAGAGCAGAAGCCAGACCGGGACCGAACAACAGGUGUGUAGACCUUUUUGGUGCAUUAGUUGUUCGUGUGUUCUCUGAAUUCUACUUGCCAAUUUCGUCCGAAUAAUUCUUGCAUGGAUACAGGAGAAGUUUCGCGCAUAGAUCCAGGAGAAGAGCAACAGGACUCAGGGCACCAAGAACAGGACAAGAGCAGGAUAACUGUAAGAAAAUUGUGCUUCCUGCGCCCAUUUAUUGAUCUGAUGAGGCAUUUAUAUGAAUCUUGCAUCACUGAUGUGCUUUAUGAAAUUCUUGCAGAACUACAAGAUGCCUGAAGUGAGGACUGCUACUCGGCCGGCCCUCACCGACACCUCUGGUGGUGGGUUCUUUAUCAGGAAGGUGGCACCGCCAGGAGCUGUGCUGGUGAAGGGUGCUGUCAAGCCGCUGGCACGACAGGCCCGGACACCGUCAAGCAACAAGGAGAAUGUGCCACCAGUGGGGACUUUGAGGACUGCACCAAAGAGGAGGAGCCCCUUACCUAACUGGUACCCAAGGACCCCACUCCGUGACAUCACAUCAAUCGUCAAGGUGAUGAACUAUUUCCUUACAGUAUAUGCGAUGUUCCCUCAAUUCCAUACGUGCCGUGACCAUUUCUGCUAAAGUCAGAGUUCUCCAGUUUUGUUGUAUUCUCUAGGAUAUGCCACAAUAUCAUUUUGGAGUUGUUGUUAGUCACUUAAUUCGAAAUGCGCGGUUAGCGGUUACCGAAGUAGCCAAUGGAGUCAAAUGCAGCUUUUAUCAUUAGUGUGAAUCAUAUCAAAAGGAUUCUUAUAAUUCAAAUGGCCAAGCAACAAUUUUCUUACAAGGCAUAACCCAUGCGCUUUUGUUCUGUCUUACUUGUGUAGAUGUAUUCAACUUUAGCUGCCUGGCAAUUUAAAUGUGCUUAAAUUUACAUAAUGGUCCAGUAAGCAAUAAGGCCAAUUUUAUCUUAAUCCAUUUACUUCAUGUUCAUUAACCCCAGUAUAUUAGAUCUUAAAUAUUCUGUCGCAUUAGAGCUUGGGUUAAGGGUUCACUUGAUGUACUACAACUAAGAAGUAUGUGUCCCUGUACGAGAUACAACAGAAUUGCACAUGUCAGCCUGUCCUAUUAAGAAGCAUGUGUAUGAGAUACAACAAUUGGCGUUUAUCAUCUAGGUUCAUAAUAGCGAGUAGAAUUGUCUGAUAUUAGAGGUUCACUUGUAUUUUUUUUCCCUUGAACACGCUAGAGGUUCACUUACCGCAUGACUGAAUUGCUCUACUUGUUUGGUUGUAGAAACUAGCUACUGCAAUUACAAUGUUCCACACGUGUCAGCCUGUUAAGAUGUAUUACAACAUAUGACGAUUGGCAUUUAUGAUCUAGGGUCAUUAUAGAGGGUGGAUUUGUGACCAGUACCAAAGGUUAUAUACAAGUUAAUGUUUAGAAGUUGAUCGAAAUUAAUUCAGCUGUUGAGCUCUUAUUUGCAACAACCCAUCUUCCUUGCUGCUCAAAUAUCCAUUGAUUUAAUGCGACCUAGUGAAACAGAUAUUACUGUAAUCAUAGACUCAUGGUAUAGCCGUAUCUUCUGUUAAGCAUUAUUAUGCAGAAUGAUUCAAUCCAUUCAAGAUAUUUGAUAGGUUGUCGUCUUUCGUCACUGUUUUACUGGUUUUGUCAUUGACAUGACUUAAAUUAUGAAAAUAUCUUCAUGACUAUGCUAGGUUUUAUGUGUUGACAUUGGAAUUGUUGAGACUGCUAAAAGUUGGUGUCAUUGUGUUCAACCAGAAUCCUUUUUGCAGAUUAAAAUAAGCAUGCUUGUGAAGUAUGAAUUAGUACACGUAAAGAAGCAAUAUUGGUGUUCAUAUUGGCAGUGAUUUAGAUUCUGCAGCAAACUUUGCUUCAUGUUCAGAAAAUUGUGUUUUUUCCUCUGUAGUCCAUUUGCCCAUAAUGAGCUUACUUAUCCAUGCCUUUAACCUAUUAGAGGUAGUUUUAUGCUGCUAUUUGUAACGUGAUAAAAAAUUGUUUGUCCAUUGUUCAGAGUAGGUGGGAAAAGUAACUCUGACCAUGGGGAUGGCAGGAACAAAAUAUUUGUUUGGAUAUUAGAUGCAUACCUAGUUUAGACGCAUUGAGUUACAUUCCCUUGGAGAUCUACUGAUCUACUAAACUUGCAGGCUCUUGAGAGGAGAAGUCGCCUACAGGAUGCUGCGGCUCGGCAGCAUAUCCAGUGGACAGAAGAUUCUUCACCAUCUGUGGAUCCAAUAACUCCAGUACAAGCAGAAAGCAUGCCAACAACUGAGAAAGCUCAAGCUGUUGUGACCCCUACAACUUCUUUGGCCGAUGGCAAGCUGAAGGCCACUCCAUCUGGCUACUCCUUGCAGGCCACUCCAUCCAAACCAAAUGAUCCAGCUCUCUCCGAUCUCAUGGAGAAGAAACUGUCCAGCUCAAUAGAGCAGAUCGAGAAGAUGGUGAGGCGAAACCUGAAGAAAACUCCGAAGGCUGCUCAGCCUUCCAAGAGGGUCGUCCAGAGGCGCAUCCUGAUGUCCAUGCGAUGAGCUGAUGAUAAAGCUCUGUUCCGGAAUGGUUUCCUAUUGUCUGCAGCUUUCUUAGCGGCUAGUCAUAACCAAUUGGUCAGUUUCGCCUGAAGUGGGUAGGGGUUCCUAGUUCUCUGCUUGAGGACCUGGGGUACGGAGCUUACCUAGCUCUCUGCUUGAGGGCAUAUAAGAUUACGGUGACUGCAGUUCUUCUACGUUUAUAGCUUCAACUGUAUAUAGCCUCUACGUCUUUACUGUAACACAAUCACUGCUACGCAGUCAUUUUGUUUGUGAAAUUAGCAGAUCUUCUGUAUAAGCAACGAUUGAACCAAAUUACUUUGACAGAUCCUGUUCCCCAAGUAAAAAAACAUGGAUCAUUACUUUGACAGCUUGAAUGCUUUUAUCGCUGAGUUUUGUUGGCACUUUCUUGUCAAAUGACUUGUUUAUGGGAUUAUGGCUAGAUUGCCUUGCUAUAAUGCUUUGCUUCUUAAAGCAGAUUUACUUUAGUGAAUGGUGUUCACUGAUCUGUACAAUUUACUGAUUCACUUACGAUUAUCUAUGAUCCUUUUGGAGAAUUGGAAUUUUACAAUUGCUAUAUUCUUGCUGCAACCAAUGUUGUAAAUGUAAAACACUCAUCGCAUAAGCAUUGCAACCACGACGGAUAAUCACAUUUACAGUUCUUUUUCCUGAUUGCCAACAGAUGAACAUAUCACAUGAUAUGGUAACAUUUGAAAAUGAUCCUUGCUGAUUAACAGAAAGCCAUAGCCAUAACAUCGACACUUACAUAGGAAACAAAUACAUUGGAUCUUUGCGCACUGCCAUGAAAUUCAUAUGUUAAAUUUACAUAGUGAACAAAUAUGGUGCUUGGAGCUCCCGUCCUUUAAUCAUAUCCGUUCGAUGGCUAAUAGAAAACCCCAAAUUUGCACGUGUUUUCUCUCAUGGUUAUUGUAUCCAAUCCUAAAUCUGGACACGCCUAAUAUACUACAACAGCAUGUAUCAAAAAGGAAAUACAAAAGGUAUAGAUACACCUAUACUAGUGAUCACACAUCCAAUUAGAUGAGGUAGCUGCAAUUAUGUAGCCCAAUGAAACAGCAUUCCAGCAUCAUCGGAUAUAGCUCCUAACAAAAGAUGUUUCGCCGACGACACUUAAGCUGACACAUCUCUGCAGGACAAGGGUCAAGGGUGAACCAAGCAAGUUAGGAAACUAUGCGGGAAAUAGGUUCUUAUUUCCAAAAUCAAAUUAUGGAGUUAAUUGAGUCGAACCUGUGACUUCAGAGGGGGGAACACAUUCCAAAACUGGAGUGUUUCAUCACCAGCGCAAGUAGCUAUACUCUGUUGAUAUCAUGGUGGGAAGACAGUAAGAACAAAUCAUACUAGGUGACAUAAAUGAAACUCAGAAACAGGUCACGAGGACUCACCUGUCCAUCAGGGGAAAUAGCUGAAUGCAGUACUCUAUUUGUAUGCCCUGUCAAGGUGACAACCUGCAAAAAGAGAAGAAGAACAUGAUCAAUACACAAAGGAUAUGGUACAAGUUAUAAUUGAAUUCCAGAAUAAGCUUGCAGUGUACCUUUGACAUUGUUGGAUAUCGCCAAACAAUGAUCUGAUUCUGAGAGUCCCCAAGGCUGCUCACAAUCUCAUUCAUGUUCUUUGACCAGAUAAGAUUGCAGACCUGUGAAGUCAUCUAGCAUCCUCAGUACAUGUGAACAAAUAGCAUGUUUAACCCUAGUUUUCCUCAAUUAAUAUAAUUAAAAAAAACCUUGGUUUGACAAUAAGAUGUCUCAAAUACAGUUAUUUCCUGGAAUACUAAUUCUGUAUCAAUGGUGGAGCCACAAUUCCAACACACCUAAGGCUAAAAAUCAGGCAACCAUGACACCCAGUAUUUCCCACAAUAACACAACCGAAAUGCAGAACAAAUGCAUAAGUUAUGUGAUAUUUCAACUCUGCUAUGACAAAAUACAUAAAAACUUGGUGAAACAUAUGCCUUAUGUAAAUUAAAAAACAAGAAUGUAUCACACAGCUAGUAUGAUAUGGCAAACUUAAUCUUCAGUUUAUGUGCAGAAGCUAAUGUUACAUGUCCACAAAGUUCACUCUGCACAAUUUACGAAAGAAAAUAUUUCUCAAUUGUGUCAGAUCAAGUGUUAAUUUAUCCAAAAGACUUGUAUUAAAGUAGAAUCCAUUCUGUUUCAGGAAAAGAACUUCAGAAUGCUUGAGAAAUUUAACACAUCUGCUCGUGUUUUAUAUAACUUUCUGGACUCUUCAAUGAACGAUUGCAACUUUAUAACACUGUGUGGAAAGAUAAACCAGUAUGGCAGAAGAUUAAACAUAUUGUGAACUACCUGACUACCAGUGUCCACACAGCUCUAGUGUGUAUUUUUGGUCGUGUUCCAAAAUCGUAUGUAUUUUUGGUCGUGUUCCAAAAUCGUAUGCAUCCAUCUGUGGCUCCUCCACCAGAUGCAAGAAGCCCAUGGAGAUGAGGUGGCCAGGCAAUAGCUUUAAUAGCUGCUCUGUGCUCAGUAUUCUUCAGUGCUGGUUUUACUGAAUGCGGAUUCCAAACAAAAAGCUGCAACAAGAAACAUGAGUGCAGAAUAAAUAUCAUUCUGAAGUCCUUAUAACAAUGCACUCAAAAGUGAUGGAAACAUAUGGAACAGCAACUUAUUCUUUUGUCAUUGCCACCAGAUGCAAGCUGCCGGUCAUCAUAAGACCACUUGAGCCCACAAACCUGGAAAAUGUGUGUGAAAAUAAGAAGCCAUACAUGAGUAAAACGAAGCUCCCUUAGGAUUAUCCAUAUACUGAAAAAAACCAACAAAAAUGGUGCAAUUAUAUAUAUAGCGUGCAAAUUAUAUGGAGAUUCUUGAGUUGGUGGUGAAAGGCUCUUCGAGUUGUACCUAAAGAGUGGCGCAAAGGUCUGAAUUCUUUGGUUAUCUUAGUAGCCUGGGAAAUCUGGAAGCACAGGAACUCUUGUGUGUUUGAACAUACAAGGCCAAGCAUUCCAGGUUUGCUCAGGACAGUGGCUGAUGAGUGCAGUUUGUGGGGAAUGGCUGGAGUUUGUAAACUCCAGGAAUUCCUUGCCUGGUUGCUGUCCAUAGUCGAUUAAGCUAUGGUUUUUUGUUUGCUAGGUCGAUCUGUGAGUCUUUGGUGGCACGCCUGUAAGCUAGUGGCGUGUGUGGGUGUGGUGUGAGUCUUUGUACUCGGGUCCGGCUUUGGCUAGAACCCUUGUUCUCUUUUUUCUACCUUAAUGAAACGACACUCAGGACGCAGCUGUCCUGUGUUGUUCAAGAAAAAAAAAGAUAGGAAUACAUCACCUCAGAUUUAUGUGCAGUAAGAUUGCUAACUUAAUCUUCUUUAGCACGGAUAUCAUGGUGAAGGAUGCUCUUGUCACGACUGCCAGAAGAAAGUAACGAAGAACCCCAUGCAAGAGCACCUACACGCAUACGAUGGCUUUCCAUUGUUCUGAUUCUUUUAGAGCGAGUUACAUCCCAUAUCUACAUAAGAUAAAAGAUAGUGUGGCAAUUAGAUUUCCAGACAAUCUCAGCAGUGAUGAAGAAUUUCAUAGAAUACCAGAAGCAUCAAGGGAAAAGAAUCUAUAGAGGUACCAUAAACCAAAUACAUACUGCCUACUGAUGAGGUGGUAGUAGUAUUGCAGAACGUUCAAAUUUCAACAACUAUAGCAUAUAACUGAAAUUUUGUUAAUGUUUGCAUUGCAUUGUGAUAAAAUAGUUCAGAGAGUCAUGCUUAGGCUAAGAAUCAUGAACAUGCCAUCUGAUAAUUUAAGAUAGGAGCAUGAUGUAACCUGAACUUUGCCCUGCUUUGUCCCUACAGCUAGAUGAGUGCCAGGCUGCGCCCAUCCCACGGAACAAACAUCAUCAUCCUCCCCCAAAUCGCAUAGCUUGGUAACCUGCAUUGCGAUAAACACAUUCACAUUCCACCUUCAAUUGUCAGAAGAGGAAAUCAUGCAAGAACACCAUGGUUGCUCACCUUAUCUCUGCUUGCAUCCAACAAGUAGAUAAUAUUCCCCAAUCCGACAGCAAGUGCGUUUUGUGACGACCAAUCCAGCAGGUUCCGGUAGAAGUCAUCCUGCAUUGUGGGCGCAUCCAGAAUCUAUAAAAGAAACAGCAAGAAAAUUACCACUUUUUAAGCAUGAACCUUCAAAUUGACAUCGCACUCUUGAAAAUCCAAGUCUUUAUGCAUUAUUACAGAAGCUUGAAACAAAGUAAUUGAAGAAAGAUCAAAUCUUGCACAUCCCUAGCGUCGCCAAAGACUCGAUCCAAGGAACCCAAAUCAAGAAACAGGUCCAAUCAAGAAAGCAACAAAAUCGAGUCUAGUGCCCUCUUCUCACCUUGUAAGGCGUUCUUGGGAUCUUCCUGGGCCUGGCGCCCCUCGCCGUGGAAAUCCCAGCGAACAGCUGUUCCUCCUCGUCCCCGCCCCCGAAGAGUGCCCUCUUUGCCCUCCGGGGCACCGCCUCCGCCUUGAACUUGAAUAUGUUCCCACUCCCGGGAGUCCCCACUUCCACUGGCGACGCCGACGACGAUGGGGAGGAGGACGACGAUGAGCACGCGGUGGCCGAGGACGCCACCCGAUCGGGCGUGGCGGGCCAGAACAGUGCGGCGCUCAGGAGCUCGCAGUACGGGGAUGGUACGGCAGGGGUUGCGAGGUCGAAGAGCGCGAGGUUGGAUCUGGAGCGGCUAGGGAUGAAGCGGUCGCUGUAGACGGUGUGGGAGGCGACGGAGUGGGAAGGGUGCGGUGGCAUGGCGGAGAGGCCAGAGGGCGGCGCGGGGGCGAGGUGCGCGUUGGGCAUGGAGGCCGCUGCCGUGUUCUCGAUCGGCGGCGGCAUCAGGUGCGGGUGAAGGAUUUGAGAGGCGGGAACGGCGGCGGGUUGGGAAGGGGAACGGGGAUCGGCGGCGGUUCAAAGGCGCGGCAAUUUUUGCCGUUGCUGCACCGGUGCACGUGCGCGCCCCCGCGCUUUUCCUCUUGCCAAUUUUGGGUUUUCUUUCGUGGUGUGCCAAUGACAUCGAUGACGGCUCCUUGAACACAGGUGAAAAAACGAUCAAACAAACGAACAAAGGGCACAUGAUACUCGUAUAAGCCCUCUGUUCAGGUUCUGGGAAAAAUAAAACCGCAAUCAGUUCAGGUUGAUUCAUCAUUCGUCCAUCUUAACUGGUUCUUUUCAUUUCCCUUGACCAUUUGGAAAUUGUAGUCAAUGCUUAUCAUUGAACAGGUCCUUCACCAUGUCGUCGGUUUGCAAGUUGCAACACUAUCCAGCUUCAAGAUCUAGGUUAAGAUUAUAUUUAUUUUAAAUUGUAAACUAAAUGAUUCAUCUAAAAGCUCUAGACGGACCUUUUAGAGUUAUAUAUAACACUUAUAAUAAGAAGAAGAAAUCUUUCUUGAUAUCAAUCCCCUUCCCCUCAAUCUUUGAGAAUCAGAAGGACUCUUCCUAGGCUAUGCUCGCUCGUCUACGCUCCAACCAAUUUAGCCGAACUGUCUCACAACGUUCUAAACCCAACUCAUGUACCACCCUCCUAACUUGUGGUAUCAUAGAUUCUUAGGAGUGAUGAGUUACUUCACAAACAACUGCAAGUGAUCCAUAGAUUUUCUGGAGCCGACGCUAUACCAAAUGGAGUCUAAAAUUAUUUAACGGAAAGCUUGUAAAUAUAUCGAAUGAUAUAUUAGUUGUGCAGUGCUUGUGCUUAUGCCCAAAGUAUUUCUCAAAUGGAAUAAAAGAGUUAUCGAUAACUUGAAUAAAAAGGGAUAAUGGUCUUUCACAGAGCAAAAUUUGUCUAGGAUACUAAUAACACCUGAAGACCAGGUUGUGUUCUCACUCAGACUGUAUUUUAUAAAUUUCUCAUACGGUCGAAGAGCAUUUUAUUCUAUUUUAUUAUAUAGAUCUCUAUAGGAACAUUUAUUUAUUUAUGCUUUAAAUAUUCCUCCAUCCUUUCUAAAAUAUAGAUUGUUUUAGUUUUGUCCAAUAUUGAUUUUCUCUCACUCCCACCAAGUUUGUAAAAAAACAUAUAUUAACAUCUACAAAGUAAAAAAAUGCAUAAAUAAAAACACAUCUUAUGAUGGAUUUAACUGAUCAUGUGUUUUCACCACUCACAUCUUGUUAGGAAGAAGCUUAUUUUCACAUCUAGCAUGUUGUUGAUAUUCUUCCCUAACCGUUCCUCGUGGGUAUCAUGUGUUAGAGGAUGUAACAAAGUUAUUAUGUAACACGUCAUAUGAACGUGACAAGGUAGGAUACAUGUGUACAUCGGUUCAACACAGGAUAGAUUCAUGCAUAGAUAGAGUUGUUUAAACCGGCAUACCUUGGACUACUACAAGUUGUAUUCAAACUUCAUGUAUCUAUUGGGGAUUUCCCUAUAUAUAUAUAUAUUAACACGAAGCCGUGGGCGUGCCAAGAGAGGCAGCCACAUUAACCUAUUUGCCAUGUAUUCUUUCAUCAUGGCCUAACUUACUCUCUACAAUAAGUUUUAUGCACAGGCUCAUCCACUCAUUCACCGCUUCUCUCUGCGUAUUUGACAUGUUACUCCUCCACUCCAAAACAUCUAGAGCAUCUCCAGUGAGAAGUUCAAAGUGACUCAUCAUCUUACACGAAUGCAUGAAAAGCGAACCAAACAACUAGAAAAUGUGAAUGUCAUGAAUAGAACAUCAAGAGGGAGGUGUCACUCUGCUGCUUUUAAUCAAUGAUGUAAAGCUGGCGACUUGAUGUUGAUAUUGAAGAUGUUGGAGAGAGCCUGAAGCCUGAAGAAGUAGAUGGAGGCAUUAGAAGUCUACACGAGUCAAGAGGCCUAACCCAAAGUAUGACAGCUUAUCUUGGCAACCUAAUUGAAGCAAAGCCCGCUAUCACCUGAUCGCAUCUUAUACAGGGGGUGUGUAAGAGUGGAGGAGGUAAGGAGGAAGAUCGAAGACAUUAGCUGACUGCAAUAUAGGAAUACGGAAUACCAUUUGUAUAUAGGACAUCCUAUGAUCUUGUACUCGUAUUUGGAGUGAACUUGUGAGAACCAAAAGUCAAACACUACACAUGUUGCUUGUUGGUGGCAGUGAACCAUUCAUGGAGAGAGAAAGAAUCACCUCUUAAAUAACGGUCAAAUCAGUGACGGAGCUAGGAUUCGAAAAAGAGGGGGGCCAAGCAAAUUAUAUCAAGCACGUUCCAUUUCCAUAGAAAUCAAGGCCAAAUAAAAUAAAUUUCAUUUCAAAUCAAAUGAACUAUUUGAAAAGUUUUGAGCAUAGGGGGGCAAUGGCCCGUGCCAGCUCCUCCUUGGCUCCAUCCCUGAGUCAAAUCCUUGCUUUAAAAAAGGUGAAUUGGAAUUGUGGGAAAGAGAAGUUGUGAGAAGAGCGAGACUAUAAAAAUGGAGUAUUUAUUUAUUGAAAAAUGUGUUGGCCCCUAUGCUUUUGAGUCAAAGUCAAGUAAGAUCGUGUGGAUGGAUUUUUUUUUUCAACGAGUCGAAUCAUCGAAUCACAGAGAUGCUCUAAACUAACAAAAUAUGAUGGAGAAGAACAGCCAAGAAGACAAUCAUAAUACGAACGAUUUUUGACCCUGUUUAUUUCCGCUUAUAACCAGCUUAUUGGUGAAAAUAAGCGAGAAUCCUACCAAACACCUUACUUAUUUUCCCAGAUUCUCGCUAACCGCUUAAGAGAUUUGAACCAUAAGAAGCGAAAAAGCGAAAAGUGAGAAGCGAGAAAAUUUUUACUUAGAUUAUAAUUAAGUAUGGUUGAGAGAAGCGGAAGUAUGGUUGAGAGGAGUGGAAACAAUCAGGGCCUACAGCAAUCUCAAUCGCUUGAUUUAUUCGAUUUUUUAAUGAACCUAUUAAUUCGAUUUCACAGAUCACGGAUCACCCGUUCUCGGCAAGGCAAACGGUCCAGCCCAGCCGUCCAGGAAUUCGAAAUUCGGGACGGCGCUCACGGCCACGGCCCCACCGAACGCGCCGUGGCACCAGCGUUUCGUUUGCACGCACCAGGUCCAUACACCGGAACCAUCCUGUCCGUCCGUCCAUCGCGCGGCAUCACACGAACGUCCGGAUUCGGCUCGCGGUCCACCAGGCGCUCCGUACACCGGGCAUCUCCCGUUGUCCGCCUCGUCAUUUCAAAUCGAACAGGUUAAAAAUCCCGCUCACCCCCGCAUCCCCUCCUCGCCCCCCACACUAGAGGCCGUAGCCAGCCAGCAGCCACCUCCAUCCAGGCGCAAAGCCGCAAACCCUAGGGAAUCUACCCAGGAAUCCCACCCGAAUCAGGGCUGUAUCCUCGGAGUCGUCGUCGCGGGGACCGGAUUGCCGCGGGGCCGGAGAGGAGCAGAGCAAAUCGUGAGGAAUUUCUUGCUGUUUUCAGGCGGAUGUGUUCGUACAAUUUUUCGAGUGGUUUGGUGAUGCGGGUUCUCUCUUGGUUCUGUUGUUUGCAGAUCUCGGAAGGAUAAGGUUUCGGAGGCGGGAUCAGGAGCGGAGGGGACCUGUUAUAGGUGAGAAUCGACAAACGGCAGGGCAUUCGUUGGGUCGCCCCAAUCGCUUUGCUCUGUUGCGUUUCGUUGGUUGUUUUGGUCUGAAUCCCUGGGGAAGUGUGGGAUUGAUUCGAGUAGGAAUGUGGGGAGAACGAUUCGGGGCCAGAUGGUCUUGAUGUCACUGAUGGUUUUGUUGGGGUCUUGUCUGAUUCGUUGGUCUCGUUUGCCUUGUGGCUUUCUUGCAGGUAUCGUAGAGUCGUAGGUUCGCGCUGACAUUGGAAGAAGGCGGAGAGGCGGAAGCGGAGCAAGGGGAGAGCAAUAGGUGUGUAGAUUUUGGUGAAUUUGUAUUUCAUGCUCCUCUGUAUUCCACUUCGCCGAUUUCAUCCGGAAAUUUCCUGCGUGGAUCCAGGGGAAGGCUCAGGGCACUAAGAAUUUCUUGCAGAGAUCCAGGAGAAGAGCAACAGAAAUCGACACACCAAGAGCACAAGAGGAGCAGAACUGUAAGGAAAACUGUGAUUCAUGGAUUUGUUGACGUCCUGAUGCAUCUUGUGGGUGGUUCUUGCAUUACUGUCUCACUGAUGUGCUAUAAAAGCUUCUUGCAGAACUAAAAGAUGCCUCAAGUGCGGACUGCCAGCAGGCCGGUACUUGCCAGCCACUCUGGUGGCGGGUUCUUCGUGAGGAGGGUGGCAUUGCCGGGAAUCGUGGUGGUAAGGUGUACCAUCAAGCCACUGGCUCGACGGGCUCGGACACGGUUGUGCAACAAGGAGAAUGUGCCACCAGUGGGGACUGUGAAAACUGCACCAAAGAGUAGGAGCCCCCUACCUGACUGGUACCCGAGGACCCCACUCCGUGACAUCACAUCUAUCGUAAAGGUGGGGACCUGUUUCCUUGGACUGUUCGUGGGAUGUUCUCUAAAUCUCGUAAAUGUGAUGACUAUUUUGCGCUAAUGCCAGAGUUUUAUGGUUGAUACAUGAUGCAUGAUCUGUUCUUUAGGAUAUGCUAUAAUGUUGCUUUGUUAGAAUUAUUAUUACAUUAUUGGUCUUGUAUUCGAAAUGCCCUUGUUACCAAAGUAGAUUCUGGAUUAGAGUUUGGUAUUCAGGAUGUAGAAGUUUUUAUAGGGCUAAUGUUGGUGUCUUGUACAUUUUUGUUUAUGAUACGACAAGAUCCAUGAAUUCAGUUAGCCUGUGUCUCAGUGGCUUGAGUGAGAACAGUAGCAUGAAAUGCGAUCAAGCAAGCCUAACCUUUUAUGCUUAGUGCAGUGACUAACACAAAAGAUUAGUAUAUUUCAAAUGACUUGACAAUAGUUGGCUUUGGUUGUAAUGAGCAGCCCUUUUGUUUUUUCUGCUUGAAUCUUUCUAUUCUCAGUUUUAGGUAGCCAGCAAUUUAAAUGUGCUUAAAACUAGAGAAAUGUUUCAUGAGUAAUAAGGCCAUCAUUUAAAUUUAGUUUCUUACUUUGCAAUCUUCUAUAGCGCCAGUAUCACAUAGACUUAAUAACCUAUCAUGUUAGAUGUUCAUGAAAUGCAGGGCUGGAUUGCAGUACUUGUUUUAGUUGUAGAAACUAAAGACUCGAUAAAGCUGCACAUUUCAGAGUUUUUUCUUUUUGUGUCGUAUGCCACCAUGGGUCGUACAUUAGCUAAGUAUAAUUCAAUAGUUCAUUAACAACUUUAUUUCCAUUGAGCAAUUGUACAGAGGAUCUUAUUUGCUACAGAAUAUCAAACCCAUGCUGUCUCCCUUCCUCAAUUCUGAGAUGUCCAGUCAUUUAAUAUGACAUAGUAAAAUCAACGUACAUGGAUCCAUCCAGGAUAUUUGCAUAUUCAGUUCAGCUUUAUCUGUAGAAUGCUCAUAUUGUUCUUCGAUAUAUUCAAGAAAUCUGCUAGAACAUUGUAUUUGGUAAUUUCUUCACUUUUGAUGUUUUACUGGUUCAGUCAUCUUCUAGGCCAAUACUGUGAAAGUAUCUUUAUGAUGUUGCUCAUACACAGUGUAAAGCAUCUUUUGCAUGCUACACAAUGUAAAUUUCUUGAUUAGAAAUUAUUGAAGGCUCAGCUUAUAUUCAUUGAAAUGAACCUUUUUUGCGGAUAAGUAACUAUGCUUCUGCCUCAUAAAGAAUCAGUAUACACGCAGAGUUGUUUUUUAGAUGAAGAGUUGAAGAAGAGUCAUUGUUGUUUGCCACAUUGACAGUUAAUUUAGAUUUUGCGGCAACUUUUUCUUCAUGUUAAGCAAAGUUUGCUUGUUUCUCUGUAGAUAAUUGUUUGCCUCAGAUGAGCUUUAGUACCUUUCACUUCUUCAGAUGGUUCAUAUUUUUUGUAUGCUGAUGUACUUGGAAUUUGCUUGUCAACUGUUAACUGCAGACAGAGAAAAAUGUACAUACCUAAUUCAGAUGCAUUAAGUUACGUUUCCCAGGUAAUCAGCUCCUUACUAAUUGCAAUUUGCAGGCUCUUGAGAGAAGAAGUCAGCUAGAGGAUGCUGCGGCUCAGCAGCAGAUCCAAUGGAUUGAAGAUUCCUCACAAUCGGCGGAUUCAACAACUCCAGUCCAAGCAGAACAGAACGAUCCUCAUAACACACUGCAAGCUCCGGAGGCACUGGGUGCUGUUGCCUCUGGUUCUGGCUCUACUUCAGUUGGUGCAAACCCCCCAGCUUCUGUGGCUGAGGGGCUGAAGGAGUCUUCCUCUCCAUCUGACUGCUCGUUGCAGACGGUUCCAUCCAAACCAAAUGAUUCAGCUCAUGCUGAUCUAAUGGAGAAGAAACUGUCCAGAUCAAUAGAGCAGAUCGAAAAGAUGGUGAAUCAACGACUGAAGGAAACUCCAAAGGCCGCUCAGCCUUCCAAGGUGUCUGUCCAGAGGCGCACCCUGAUGUCCAUGCGAUGAGCCGAACCCUGCUCUGCACAUCAAUGGCUCUCUUCUAUCAGCUGCUUUCUUAGCAGCUAGCCUAGGCAUGAUAUUUAAAACGAACUACUAAUUGAGGCAUGGUGCCUGCUCAAUUUUGCCUUUAGAGGGUGGAGGUUCUCUGCUUGAGGACCAUGGGGUAGGGGGGCUUCUAGGUUCCAGUGUUUGAGGGUAUAGAUAUCUGUGGUUAAAACCUGUGAUGGUAUGAUUACUGCAGUAAAACUUCAUUCGUGCUUGUCUUGUCUACCUUUACUAGAAACGAACUGCUAUUUUACACGUCUUUUUAUUUGUAAAAUAUGUGCCUUAACUUCACUAUGUAGCAGUACGAUGUUUUGGAUCUUGAUGGUGUUAACUGAAUAGAUGCCACAGUUCUAGCAUUUGAGUUGCAACAGCUUGAAUUCUUCGGUUGUAGAAUACUUCAAUUGAUGCAGUUUGCCUUGCUUAUUGAAUUGCAUGUCUUUCCUUCUUUCUUUUGCUCGUUUUACAGGAUCUAGAACCAAAAUCCUUCAGCUUUACAGCUUGGUGUUCUCUUGGCAGGUGGGUGCUUCUGUACUAGUUGUGCUUGUCUUACAUUUUCUCAGUGCACAAUGUAUUGCUUAGCGUCACGGAAUUUCCCCUCGCUUCAACUACUCGUGCAUCCUAGUCAAUUGCAUUUGAAGACCACAUUUUGGAGAUGUGAUGAAUAAUUUACAUUCACUUGGAAAGCUGCAGCAGCUGGUUCAAAAUAGAUAACGUGUUUAGCAAGCUGGGAGUUGCUCAACAAAAAGAGGAGCAGAAACCACCCUUGUGUACAUGGUAUUAUCCCAAUAGUGCUGCUUAUGCAGUUGCUGUAAACACUUCAUGUGGAGACUUGCUCACAAUAGUGUUGCGAUGCGGAUGAAUCUGGAGAGAAGCUGAGAAGAGGCAUGGAGCUGGAUACAAGAUGAGUGAUGUGCAACAGAUAUGAUGAAGAUGGAGAACACCUAAUCUUUAAAUGCAAGCAUGUCAAACUUGUAAUGAGUGCGAUGUGUUUAGAGGAGUAACGGGUUCUAUUGGGCUGGGAAAGCUUCUGCUCGGGAGGUCGUGAAACAUAUCCUUGGCCAGUUGGCCUGGAGGAUGGGAAGCAAAUGAAGGUUAGCCUGUUGAGGCAAUGGCGGCUGGAGAGGAACCCUGUCAGAGAGGGGGAGAGGAGGAAAUCAGCUGAUGACCUCGCGUUCAUUGCAGGAAGAUUGCGGAAGAAUACACUGGAGAAGAGAAAAUAAACUCCGACGGGGGGCAUUCUUGCUUAUCACAGGCGAGGGAGGGUGCGGCUUUGUGAUCAGAGAUGCAGAGGGGAUGUGGUUCAGGACCAGUCGGACGCAUAUCGAUUGGCAGCCACAGGAGGAAUGAUCUUGAGCUGAAGCAGCUCGUACGUUUAAAUUUUAUAUCAUGUUCUUUUUGUUAAUGCUUCACGUUCCUGACUUCACUCAUGUGUUGUCCAUGUGAAUCUGGACCUGACUUCACUCAUGUGUUGAAUUCAGAAAGUUCGCUUCAUCUCCGCGGUGUCAUUUUCAGGCCCUUCGAUAGGGAACGGCGCUCACGACAGCCACUGUGCCAGGGGAACAAAACGCAACAACAGAAGGAUCGGCGAAACAAGCUGAUGCUGUUUAAGGACAUCUUAUGAACUGAAGCAAAACAUUAGUAACAGUGCUACUCCUACAGAAGUUAGGAUGUCCACAAAUCACAAGAUGUCCGAGCCAAUUAGGCAAUUACAACUCUGCAACUAGAUGCUGCUUACACUCUACAACUGAACAUUGCAGUUUAAGAGAAGCCUCAGGAGUCAGGACACAUCAAGAGAUGUUAAAGCAGCCAAAGAAUUCAGAGAAAGCGGAGAUCAUGUACAGAAUUGAACACAAGUUGCAGUGAUACCAGGGUUACAUGGCAUAUCUGUAUGACAUAACAUAACUCAUGUCGUCGAAAUAAUGAACAAAUAAUUACAAGCAAGGGCACCUUCCGUCCCUUAGAAGGCUGGAAGCAUCGAGCAUGCCAUGAGGGUCUACAGCAUCACUGCAUCCUAGGGCAUUUGUGAGAAUGGCUGUGUAUUCAUCAGAUAGGAAACAGGUUACUGGCAGCAUGUUGAAUUUUGUGGGUUCUGAUGGCCUGCAGAUAUCUACCAUCUAGUGACCGGCCAACAAGAUCCAAGCAUGAUCUCCAUGCCACACACAAUUCUUUAGCACAGAAUGGUAAUGAGCAAACACCGUUGCAAAUUCUACAAAUGUGCGAUUGGGGAUGUUGCGUGAAUUGGAGGAAACAGCAGACGUUCACGACUCCAGAUUUCUGGUACUCUCGUGUUUUUGUGAUAGCAUGAGCAACGAUGAGUACUGUUGAGGUAAAUCAGCUGGUUAGUUGUUUGAAUCUCGCUCAAAUUGAUGGGUUUCAUACAGAACGAUAUCUGAUGCUUGACAAAAAACAAAUAGAUAAAUACUAUUCACCAAUGCUAUACAAAUAUUAAGACAUGAUAUUAUUCAGCAUAUACAUAUUUUCACUAUUCACUGUGGCUAGUCACCUGCGGAAUCAGAUUAUGUACAAGACUACACUUUACCAUAGAAAAUAGGAAACCAACCUGUGUACCGGCGAUUAUGGUGUGACUGAGUGGAUGAGCUGCACAAGAAAGCACCCUUUGGGAUAAAGGGACAAGCUUGUUUUCCACAGGUUGAUUUUCCUCGAGGCCUCUCGUUUCCUCUCUGAUAAGGGAAAAUCAAGUGAGAAAAUAAAUAUAAAUAUCUUGCAAUUAAAUGAGCUUACUAAAAAAUCUGUCCAGGAAAAUAAAUGAUAGAUAAAUAACCAGAAAACAAAGGAUAAAGAAAAGAGGAGCUACUUGUAGUCCACAUGGCAUGCGGAGCUCGUGUCUGGAUGAAAAUCCAGUACAUAAAUUCCAUCAUAUGAGGAAGAUCCAACUGCAUAAAUCUGGAAAAGUAUAAUCAUAUAAUGUUCAUAAAAUUCCUUAACAUCAAGGAAAAUUCACAAAAGUUAACAGGAGUGCAUUAAUCAGCAUUCACAAAUUUGUUUUACCUCAACCAAAUAUCUCUUAAGGCUUCAGUUUUAAGAAAAAAGCAUUGCAGGUACUAAAAUUUGGGGUGCUCUACAAUAUACUUACUGAAGAUGUCGGCAGCCAGGUUGGUUUUCUUAGCUGUUUUUGCAACACCAAAUCCGUGCUCUCCCUUGUAAAAGAAAAAGAAGAGUACCACAAAAUAAUUAGUUCCUAGUAGAAAAUGCAUACUUUAAUUAGGAAUAUAUGUAGGCACCUAGGUUUGGGAAAAAGAAACAUAGCGGGAUACUUACAACCAAGCAGGAGGAGGGCAGUGCAGGUGAGUCACACUGAGGUUGUUAACAUUGAGGACUCCAGACCUAUCAUAGGAUGUGCACACACAAGAAAUUCAUUGAGAUGUUGUCCAUAGUAAAGCACAGCAAUGCACUUAAAAAUGAGUGGAAGGGUUAUUAUAGAUUAGUAAAGGGUCAUAUAUGGAAAAUUUCUAACAAAAUCAUGAGGGAAAAAUCUGAGAUACUUACCAGCCAUCAUCAAGAUGGAAGGCCAAUUGAUAUGGGCAACUAGGGUUGAAGUCUAUCGACAGAAUUGGACUUGAAACAAUGUUCGAUUGUUCCUGAAAACAGUAAUGCCAAAACAAUGGUUUACAGAAGAAAUGCUAAUGGCUCCAAGUUUUACAAUUUCUUAUUAAUGUUAAAAAAUUAAAGCACAUUUCAUGUUAUAUCAUGUAACCUGCCAUAAAAGUAUUUCAAAUAGGAGAAUAUACAAUGGUUUUGGAUGUUUAAAAAUUUACCCCAAAAAGUGUUUUCAAUUUAUCGGUUCAAGGAAGUGGUAAGAAGAUACUUUUCAAGAGAAGAUGAGUAGACAUUGUGAUUGAAAUGGAUUCAGGAGGUUAGGAAAACAAGGAUGGAAUAAACAUGGAUUCAGCAUACGGCCUUCUGGCCAUAUUAUCCAAUUGUGUUAUGAACGUGCACAGUGCAUGCAUUUCAUCGAAUCACUAACUUGCAUGUGAACUUCAUUAGGAAGUUGAACGGAUCAGUUGGAAAACUCAGUUCCAUGGCUACCAGAAUUUUGAUACCUGCCAGACCUUCGGUCCUCUUUUGAUCAGAAUCCGUGUAUUAUUGGUUGUUAGGGAUGCCCAAAUUUCAGCCCUCUAUUCAGGGAAGAAUAUAUGCACUAAUAGUACACAAGGAAAAAUAAUGAAACAAUUUCCCAAAAAAUGGUUUUCUAAACCCACACUGGUUCAUAGUGAAAGUAAUAUGGCUUGGGAAUAGUAGAUGUAUUGACGUAGAACACCAGGGUUACAUAUAUAGGCUAGGGUCUCCAGGGUUUAUAGAAACAGAACCAAUCAGGAGAUCCUAGCCUAAUAGGACACCUACCCAAACCCUAGGGGGGUGGCGCAUGGCAAUGGGCCUGCGCCAGCACCCAUGGCCCAUAGUGGUCGGCCUAUACAGCAAGCAGUCUAACACAUAGGAAUGAGAAUGCAAUUAUUCCAUUUAAGUAGUUAAUACGUAAAACUCAUUAUACAAUGGAUACACAAACGGCACCAAGAGCGGAAAUAAGUACACUAAUUCUUUUAGCAGAUAAGUCCAUAAUAAUAGGUCUUCUCUUGUGCAUACCUUUAGUGAUGCAAUUUUGCCCAACAAUGUUGAUACCUUCACUGAUGAUAAUUGUUGAACCUAAAAAGGUCAGCAAGAAAACAAACCCUCAUGUGUCAAUACAGAUACGACAUCGCUGCAUAAAAAGGUUGAAAUGAAUUUAUCUACAGAGAUGGCAGUAAAGUAUUAUCACAGCAUUCUAUUCAAACUAAUAAACAAACUAGAUUGACUAGCCUGUAAAAUUCCAUAGAAUUGUUAAUCAUAAAACAAAAGCUUCUAAUGCUUGAAAGCUUAAAUUAUUUAGACUACACUAUAUUAGUGCAAGUUAGUUCUUAAGAAUUAUGAUUUAGAAUUCUUCAUACUCCCUCUGUCCCAAAUUAUAAGUCAUUUUGGCUUUUCUAGAUGCAUAGAUAUUAUUAUGCAUCUAGACAUAGGUAUAUCUAAGCUAUGAAUCUAAAAAAACCAAAACGACCUAUAGUUUGGAAGGAGGGAGUAAUUUCUAAGUUUAAAAAGAGUUCAUAUAACAUCCCAUGGUUCUGAACCAAUCAUAAUUAGGCUUCAUUGGUGAAGACUGUGUUUCAAUCUCCCUCAGAAUCAGUAGUUUUUUCCCCUCUUGGCUCCUCUAAACCGCUUAAGCUUUGGAUUUCUUAGUAGCAACUUUUGGGUGAUACAGGGAAUUAGCUAGCAUGACUUACAAGCUAGAUCUGCAGAGUAUGGUGUAAAAGACUGCAGAACCUCGUGUGCGUCAUACAUAAAGUUUAUCUGCUGAACAACUGAACCCACCUCAUUGUGGCUCUGAAAAGCAGCCGACGCCCUCCCUCCCCUGAUAUCCCAGACAUGAAUUGUGCCAUUUUUAGUUGCACCGAACACAGUCUACAAAAUAAAUGGUAAGUGCCCAUCAACGGAUGGCCCGGAAUUUAAAAAAAAUAGUUAACUUCAUAAGUUAACAGAAAGGGUUUAAAUCAGAUGAGCCAGCAAAGAUAACAGAAAAUGUAGAGAGCAUAAAAAACCAGAAACUAUACAGAGCAUAAAAACCAUAAAGCAGCUAGAAAAGCCUUUUUUUUCUUAAAUAAUUCAUUAGCAUCAGGUUCAUCAUAACAAGAUGAUUAAGUUAAUGGAAUGUUGUCCUUACUCAAACAAAAGAUGUCAUGAUUAGUUUUCCAUUAUAUGAAACAAAGUAAUCUAAAGAAGCAAGCAACAUAUGUUAGAGUACUUUCAAUUUUCUAGAGUAUUUUCAAUUUUCAUAGCAACUUCAGGUAUCAGAGAUUCAUAUUAUAGAUAUAACAAACAUAAGAAUUAGCAUACCCGAUUAUCUACACUUAGCUUGACAGUGUUGAACUGAGACUCUGGAGGUGCCACAAGCUCAAGACAAUGUGUCUUACUUGACCGCCUGUCCCACAUGUACACUGCCCCAUCAAGGCCAGACGCAAAUAUCCUACGGCAAGAGAACUGAUAAGUGCAGAUCCCAUGCAUAUUUCAAACAAGACAUAGAUUAGUUUUGCACAUUGGUACUUUUACACUUCAAAUACCAUUAAGAUACCAGUAACAACAUUCCCAACACGCAAAUAAAAUAACUAAUCUUUAUUUCAGUUUACGAACCAACAGCCACCACAAAAAGGAACACAUGUCAGUUGAUGAACCUACAUUCCAACAACCACCAUCAGCAGAAUUACAUGCUAUCUCUUUUUCAAUAACCCACCCAGCCCAAGCCACCUAGUUACAUUUCUUCAUAAUAUAUCAUGUUUAGCAGUCCUUAAGUUCUUUAGCUUUUCACAACUGUACAUAUUUCUUCAUUAAGGGACUAUAGGACGAAGUUAUAUGUUCUCUGAGAGAAAAAACAGAGAACAUGAUAUACAUUUGAUUGUCUGGAGCAAGCUUCACAGUAAUAAAUGGCGUGGCUCAAGCAAAAGAGUACUAAAUAGCAAUAUUUAAUUAUUGGCCUUAUUUCACAGAUGCAACUGUGAUUGGUCGCAAAAAAAAAGAGAUGCAACUGUGAUUGCAUGAACAGGUGAAUAAUCAUGAAAUUGUUACCUACCGUGACUUAUCAUCUGAAGUAAAAGCUAUAUCAGUCAAACUUUUGCGGGAUUCAGAGUAGAGAGUGGGAAAUUUGGAUUUGCCUUUCUGCAAAAUCUAAAGUAACAAUAACUCAAAAUCAGAACGAUAUGUGUGUUCAGAAAAAAUUUAAUAAAUAAAGCUACAAUUCCUUCUAAUGUACAAAGAUUUAGAAAGGUACUUUGACUUUGAGACAUUAUUCAGAAACCUUUCUUUUUACACUGACGAAUUUCAAUUGUUGUACAUACUGGUGGAAGCAGGUCUACCUUAUCUCUGAUUCAGAUACGCGACACUAUAUUUGUCAUAAAAAUUUCUUGUAUAUCCUGCACCUACCAUACUUAUAAAAAAAGUGGGAGAAAAACAAAGUGAAUAAAGUAAGAGGCUGCAUUCAGUUUGAUAAUUUAGAAAUAGAAAGAAAAGGGAAAGGAUGCUAUAUGAUUUGUUAAAGUAAACCAACAGAAGACAUGUUUCAAAAGCAAACUUAAACAGUAUUGUGAUGCGUUUGUAAAGAACAAUGUAACAGGGCCCUUACUUCAGUCGGUGCAGAUGAGACAUAGCCAAUAUCAAAGAGGAAAACUUUAUCACUUUGACUUGAUGUGCAAGCAAUCUGCAGCCGAGAUGUUCAACAAUAAAAUACUUAGAAUCAAAUGUGCUCAUAAAUAUCUCAGUUUAUAAUAAAAAAAGGAAUAGACUGUAGUGCCUAACUGCAUGCUAGUAAUGCUUGGCAGCCACCAUUAGUAUCGAGUAGCAAAAAUAGGAACUCAAGGGACAAAAAGUUAAAAACCCCAUGCUUCAUGAAGAAUAAGUCUGCUGCGUACCUCAUCUUGGUUUUCUGGAUUCCAUCGGACAGCAUUCAGAGGCAUUCGGUUAGAUAUAUGGAGCACAUAAUUUGAAGAGUCAUUUGGCGUACCUACCAAGAAAAAAAGUAAGUUACUGCAAAAUCAUUAUAAGACCUGAAACUAUAGCUAAGAAAAAAUUAAGAAGCUUUGCAAAAGAAGAUUUGGAAUGCCAAUUCUCCUGCACCUUGGAGUAUCCGAGUAUGUCACCAUAUCAACUAUUUUGGUGCAUGCUGGCGCUGUGGAUACACAAAUUCUAACUAGAAUUUGCACAGGCAAGAAUUUAGCAACAAAAUAUGUAGAAGUCCAUCUGUUUUCUAGGGAAAAUCAGGUUCUUAACAGACCUCCAAUUUCUUUAUCACAUGAAGAUACGAAGCUAAGACUAGCUUGUCGAAGAGAAAAACAAUGUUAACUAGAGGACAAUAUGGAUUAGAAAAGUCAUAUGUGUUCUGACUUUGACUUACUGCAUGAUCGGCCAUAUAUGGAGCAGUAUAAAGUCUCAAAGUCAUGCACGGUCAAACAUCCUGAGAAUGUCACCGAUGCAAGGUAUAUUCCCUGCACAACUAAAAUCACAAAUGAGGAUGCUUUAAUAUUUUCUCAUAUCACAAAUUUGUGCUAAAAAAUCAGUAGGGAAUGAGUUGGAAUCGGUAGUCAUGAUAAACUAGAAAAAUUUACAUCUGUACAGAAUAUGCAUGUUACCUUUUUAUCGAAUUCUAUUGCUGAAAUACCCUCCCUGUCCAAAUACAGUGGUACAAGUUUAUCAGUCCAUCUAAUAAGUACAUAUUACUACAAACCCUUAAAAUGCAUCUGUGGGAUGGUGAUCGUAACAUAACUCUAAAUCAUGUAAAGUAACACUCCAAAGAACUACAAAGAGAGAGGCAGACCUUACUAGAUGAAGAUUCAUAGUUGAAGCACUGAUCAUUCGAUCCACCUGAUAGGAGCAAUGAUAGUAAACCUGUCAGUUGGAUGAAGUAAGGUGGUUUGGCAUUACAAGUAAAAUUCAAAUAACAAACAGCAUUACAUAUGUCCGACACCGUUCCUCACCAUGCAUGUAAUACUUGUGAUCAAAGGCCCCAACCUUGUCAAGAUAAAGUAAAGCAGAAUAUGAAAUCAAGAUUAAAAAAAAGUAUCGCAAUGUAAGAACCAAACAGAACAUGAUGUUCCUUCGUUUUCCCUUUCCCACAUUGAUGAUAAUAUGAUAUAUAAACUUCUAGUCCCCAGCGCAUAGCCAUUAACACCUAAGAACCUUAGGAGCUCAUUGCUACAAACUAAGCUCAUAAAUCACAAGGAACGAAAGUUUUACGAUAUCCUAAAAGAUAUUUCUUGCCAAUCACAAUAGCUUUAUGCUUUGUUUGGACAUUGAAACGGGCAGAUCUUCCUCGUUAUUCCAUUAACCAAACAUUUUAUUUUCGAACAAACACGGAUAGUUGCGCUAAUAUUAACUAAAAAGGAUUACUUGCGAUAGGAUUUAGCCUAUUAGAGUCGAAACUUGCCCUGGACCGUGGACCCUGGAGUGUUCCACAUCCUGCUUCUUAACCCCUGCUACCAAGGAAUCCCACUGGCGAACACAACGACAGAUCCCAAAUCAAAACGAAAUCAGCUUUCUGUUUCAAGAACAUGGAACCUCGGCGAAGGAAUUGAGGAGCAGGCGCGACUCCCGGUGCCGGAACCGGGCGUCGAUGCGGCCGUCCAGCUCCACGGCGAUGCGCCUCCACCGGUGUCUCCUGCGGAACAAAAGAGGUUCAGAGAGCAGUGAGAAGCCAACGGAGUGUGGCUUUGGGGAGCUGCGGAGCACCUCGGAGGCGGCGGCGGCGGCGCGGGGUCCUCGCCGGAAUGGGGCGCCGCCGCCACGAGGAACUUGUCCAUGGUCGACGGCAAAGCGAUGGCGCCACUCCGUAGGGUUGGAUUCUGUUCCCGCCAAAAUGAAGAUUGGUAAAAGAGUGCGCCGCUCGGCAAAACGCAAACGUGGCUGGUGGAUCAAGGAAAAAGCGUUCUUUUCUUUUUAGUCGAACGCAUUCAAAUUUAAUUUAUCCUUUCCUCUAAUUUUUUUCGAUUCCUUUUCGCCUCUAAAUGUUGCUCCAUUUCCUAAUACUUAUAUGUCUAUUGUAUUAUGCUUCCGCACAGACUUAGACCCCGUUUGAUUCCCUAAAGAUUAUAUAAUCCACUUAAAAAUAAUCACUAAUGGAUCCAAAUGGGAAAACUGGUGUAACGAAUGGUAAGAAUCUACCCUCUAGAUUCUAAUAAUCCCACUAUCUCCUUCAACCUAGCUAUUUGGAGAUUAUAGGUUGGCCUCUGUUCCAAUCUUUAUUCCCCAUCCAAGCUAAAGGUAUUAUAGAUAAUUGAGCUUUUCAAAGAACCCACUAUCCGGAUUAUAAUCUAAAAUCCAAACAAGACUGUUACUUUUAAGAAUCCAGAUUCUCAUAAUCACUAUCCACUAUCUGAAUUCUCAUAAGCAACCUUAGAAUUUUGGUUGAAUUGCUGUAUACAAAGAAUUAAUUCAAAAAGGAGAGAAAGGAAACCAGAACGAGUUGUCUUUAGUCGACAGUCACGGUUAAGGAUUAAAGCUGUCUAAAAAAAGCUGGGACUAUUUGAAUCCUCGUAUUGUAGGCUGUUAAAUUGUUGGUCUGCACGAGAUUUGGCUGGCGCCUAGCCCUGCGAAAACGUCACUUAAACGGGGUUCUCUCUGUCCAUUUGCAUGAAAUAAACACUGCCAAUCUCCACGAUAUUGCAAACUUGCAAUCCGCGACAACAUGAUCAGGAUACACACUGACAAACUCCACAUUCUACACAGAGCUUACCCAGGAGACCAGGAUCCACCAUUCCAUUUCCAAAACCCCUAAACCCAGCGUAUCACUCAUGAAAGUCACUCAAAUGAUGCCACAAACAUCGCAAAAAAUGAGCAAUUCAAACAAAUAGGACAACCAAGAUACUACCGGUUAACAUCAAGCUCUAUUAAACAAAGGGCCCAACAGAUAAACGCAAUGAUGAAGCACCACUACGGAUAAAACUUUUCUUAAAUCUUCUCAUAAUAUUUAACAGGCAGACUUCAAUAGAGAUCAAAGGUUCACUACCCGGGGGUACAAAACUCAGAAGUACAGGGGCACACUAGGCAAAACGACUUCUUCGGAACUCAAAAACUACACUUAGAAGACCAUCUCAUGGGGCUUGUCACCAUCCCUGAGAGAGAACCGGGCACCAAGGUAGGUCUUCAACUCUGGGACAGCCUCAAUAGCCUUGAUCAGAGCAGCAUCGACGGCCUUCUGGUCAUCCUUCUUGAAGUCAGGCAGAGACUUGGAUGCCUGCAGAUCAGCAUACACGAGGGUCCGGUAAUUAUCACAUGGAGCAAAACUGAUUGCAAUAGGUCAACGAGUUAGGGUUAAGGAACUCGGAUGCCUACCUCCUUCUCUGUCUCAAAAAGCUCGCCUUCAGUCUUCUUCACCUUCUGCUUCUUCUCCCUGGCAAAGUACUUGUCAUCAAACUUGGAAACAUCAACACCAGAGAUGUCAACCUUGGUGGAUGUAGCAAUGACGUAGGUCUGGUUCACACGGCGGAUUGGUACUCCAUUGAUCUUGAAAGGCCCUGCAAGGACAACAGAAACAUUAAAACUAGGGCUACAUUAUCAAGUGGAACAUAACAGCAGAAAACAGCUCCUCUGCACGCAUGAACUGAGGGCAUGUGGCUCUAGAAGCUGCUGGGUUGCAAUAGUGAACAGAAUCAGUUUAUUAACUUUAAUUUCCUUCCUGUCAUACACAGGUAGCUGUUGACAAUUUUAUGAACUUAGAAUAAAGUAACUUCCAUACAUUCAAGAGGCUAGUAUCAAUCUCCAUUAAUUAAUCCUCGUGAACCAAAAUGAUUCCAGCAGUUCAACAGAAUAUACCUAACCUAUAUCUAGAAUGUUAUGUUUAUUUCUAUCUAUCUUACAGUGCCAACAAAGACAGCCCAUGUGAUAUUCUUACAUCCUGCCAAACCUUGACCAAGGCAAAAAGGCAACACAUACAAGUCACUGAGUCCAAAAUGAAUUCCAUAAACACUCAAUUCAUCUAUUCAAGAAAACGUACACGAAGUAAUUUUAUGAUAAAUGGGAUGGCCUCUCCAAGAGAAGUAACAACUAAUAAGCAUAAGAACAAAAAUGACAGAUGGAACCUGCGGCCUACAGACCUAGGCUAAAAAGCGACCAAGGUAUUGAGCAGCAUUAGACAGACUAAGUCAGUCCGCAACAUUUACAAUUUUAUAGAUCACUGAUUAGCAAACACCUACAAAAACUUUGCCCAUGCAUCGUAGAUCCACACAACUCGGCUAGCUGAAUGUGUUUGAGGGCAAAAGCAAAACAAACACGCCAACACGGCAUCACGCAAUAGGAGGAAGCGCAGCUCACCAGAGAUGAGGAGGAGGCCGGACUUGAGCUGCUUGAGGAACACCACUCUCUUCCCCAUGAAGCGGCCAGCGAGCAGGAUCAGCACGGUCCCGGGCGUGAUGGUCGACCUGCGCAAACGAACGGCCGAGUCGAAUCAAAUCUACACGAAAAUGAACACGAACACCACUCUGGCUGCCACUUGCAGGGACGAUGGGGCACCUGAGCUUAGUGGGCUUAGGCUUGCGGGUGCUGGGGGCGCGGGGCUUGACGUCGUCGGCGGGGUAGAACUUGGGCUCCUUGGCGGCGGAGGGCUUCUCGGCCUUGGGGAAGGCGCCGCCGUGCUUGGCCUUGAUGGCCCACAGCCCCCGGCGGUGGUACGCGUGCGACCGCGACGCGCGCUUGAUGCCCUGCGACAGCUUCGACGUCGGCGCCAUUGGAUCGGAGCGGUGCAAGGCGCUGCUUCGGCUCGUGGGGCUGGGGGCGGCGGCGGGCGAAGAAUGGAGGAGAGGGUUUGGUCACGGGAUUUAUAUGUGUGCGGCGGCGUGGAGGUGGAAACCCUAGGUCCUUGGGCUCCUCCGCGUGCAGGUAAUGGGCCUAUUUGUUGAGGCCCAUUAGCCAGCCUCUCGCGUGCUGUACACAGUUCAGAUGAGUUUGUUUGUGGCCCAUUUUAGGAUGCACAAGGGAGCGUAUAGUUAUGGAUAAUUUUUGCCAAAAAAGAGGAAACGGUUUUGUAAGAAUAUGUAUACGCUAAAAUGGGGCCUUCUAGUAAAAAGAUCAUUAAUUACCGCUGCUGAUUGCUGCCUUGCUAAAACAUUGCUGAAGCGCCAUCAAUAGACCAUGGUCCAUCACUAUGAGCGGCAGAUCAUCGGAUGGCCAUCUCGAUUCUUGAGCUUUCAGCUGUGAUCGAGCUUCCUCGUUUACGAUUUUCAGCAACCAACACGUAAGUGACAUGAACACUGAAGAGAGCAGUGUCGUAUCGGAUGUUCGGAUGCUCAUCCUAAUAAGGAGGACUAAAUAUGAUCUAAUUAUAAAAGUAAUUGCAGAACUCUGUGCUAAUUCGCGAGACAAAUCUAUUAAGCCUAAUUAAUCCGUCAUUAGCAAAUAGUUACGGUAGCACCACAUUGUCAAAUCAUGAACUAAUUAGGCUUAAUAGAUUCGUCUCGUGAAUUAGACUCCAUCUGUGCAAUUAAUUUUAUAAUUAGCCUAUGUUUAAUACUCCUAAUUAGCAUCAAACAUCCGAUGCGACAGGUGCUAAAUGCUAAAUUUUAGUGGGGUGUAUCCAAACACCCCCUCAGUGCAUCAAACACACAGCAACAAAACCAAUAUCGGUAAACACGAGAAGAGAAAAUAUGGGCUGAUGUUGUCUUAUCACUAGAAUCCAGUUUAUGUAAAAUAAUCGCAUGCUUUGUCAUACAAAACUUCCACAACAUGGACACUGGUAAACAAAAUAGGUGCUUCAUUAAAGCCGUUGCAGGUGUUUCACGCCUUUGAUAGGGUCGAUCGAAGCACAUCUACUCCCCUUUCCAGAGCUCAGCAAACUCAUCAGGUUCUAGGGUGUUCUCCAUCUCGUGCAUCUUCCUCUUCACCUUGGCCUUCACCUUCUUGGCAUAUUUGCCUGCCUUCUGCCGCUUCUCUAGUGCACGGAUCUGGAAGGAACACAAAGCAGGCCAGAUGUAAGUGUUGGAAGGGUACAGUAAGCAUGUUCUAGUUGGAUAAAAUCACAUGUACAAUGAUACCAAGUCCUCAAAUGAACCAUGCACCAGCAGAUGAUCAAUAUUAUCAUGCUAGACAACAAGAAGCUACAAACUACUAUGAAUUUAGAGUGCGCGCACCAAACAUAAUAUGGCUUUUCAUUGUUGUCCCCAACAAAAUUGCAAACAGGAUGGCAGUGUUGUACGCAACAAUGCAUCUCAAAUUGUUAGUGGCGUACACUGCGCUCUACUAAUAUGCGUGCAUAUGCUUAAGAAUGCCUUUAAAAUGAUGCUGAUAGCAUUUUAGAUCAAGUACCAUUCUAGGAUACUUCGUCACUCAAUUCAUUAAAAAGUGGAUCAUUGACUAUAUGAAAGUUCUGUGAAAUAAAUUGUGUGACCUGCCUAACUAACUUUCUCGAACUUUGGUUAUAAUUGAAGGCUUUGUUGUUGUUGGGUUAAAAUCGAAGGAAUAAAACAAUUUAUAGUGAGACUAUCCCUUGAUGAUGAAAAGUAAUAAAUCCAGGUUGGCUUUACAAAAGAUAGUAAGGUCUACAUUUAUAUUUCAAUGAUAUGAUCAAUACUCGACAACAGAUCAGUGAAUCAACAUACCUGAUUGGGAGAAAUAUAGAAUGGAUUCUCAUACCAUGUAGGACCACCAAAACUACCACCGAAUAUUUUGAUUGGAUUCAAACAAAACCUGGGGCCAACCUACAUAGAGCAAUUCGAGCAAAUAUUAUUAUUUAGAUUUAGAGAAAGCUAAAUUUCUAAGGAUGUGAACUAUCCAGGCAGAAGUUCUGCGCCAUUACCUCAAUAAGUGUCAUUUUAUCCAAACCUCCUUUAUCAACUUUGUCAAUCUCAUUGUGGGGAACAGAAAUCUGCAAACAUAUUGGUUUCUAACAUUCAGAUGGAAGCUCAUCCGAACCAAAAUUCAUUCUGACAAAGGAAUCAAUUGAUCACCUGGUAGUUUCGAAACCAAACAUGGCCAUCCACAAUGGAGAAGGCAAACACAUGGUCAUGGAAAGGUUUGACUUUACGGUGAUCUUUAGGAGUAGCAAAUAUCUGCACAAAAACAUGCAAGGACUUCACUAUCACCUCCGUUUUUGCUUUAUAAUACUCUUAAGAUCUUUUUGAUUCACAGCGAGCAAUGCAAAUGCAAGAUUGAAUAGCAGCAUAUAAUAUGUUGUCAUGCCAUAAAUUUCAAAGAAAAGAACUAGAGUCAACAUAUGGAACUCUUCUGUGCAUUAUGGAUUGAAAUCCACCAAAAAGGUUAUACAAAUUUGAUCUUUAUAAUAAAAGACAUACAAAAUUCAAGUUUGACCACUUUUGACAUCAAAGAGAAAACAACAGAGCAAAUCCAAAUAAAGGUACAGAUUAGUCCAGUUCAUCUUCAACUUGUUUAAAUGCUUAGCAAAAACAUUGACAUGGUAUAACAUGUCAAACCGGUUACGCACCUGAGUUAUCAUUUCCUUCACAAGCAUCCAAUGAGGUUGCUCAUCAAAAUUUGUAGAAAACGUAAGAAGAGGGCGUGAGCCUUUUAGAUGGUUACCAGUAAGCUUCAACUCCUCCAUAGUGUGAACUGCAGUGAACAUCACAUUAUGGUCAUCAUAAAUGGAUCAUAAUCAUGAGAAAAGCAAACGCGUUAUAAACUGUAGCCAAUAACAGUCACAGAAUAAGUAAUAUUUGUGUUGUAGCAUACCAGCAUUAACUAGAAAUUUCACUGAUGGUCCUCCAGGAGACUUGACCAUCCAAAGGUAAAGAUCCUUCUGUUUUCUGCACUGUACAUGCACAAGAAAAUUUAGCCACAGAAAUCAAUACAUUACCAGAAUUGACAAGUAUAUUGCUAAUGUAAAUUGAAGAAUUAUAAUUGUGGGAUGAUGCAGAUCUAGUACUCCCACUAGACUAUUUUAUACCAAACCAAAUGGGAGUUGGUAACUAAUCUGAUAGCUCAAAAGACAUUCAGAAUAACUUGGACCAACUAAAGCUUGAGAUUAGCUAUGCACCACUAAUUUAUCCAGCAACCAGCAUAAGACGGUGCCAUUAGCUAGCAACCUGAAGCAUCACGAUAGUGACUAAACUACAGCGUGCACGAAGGGAACGGAGUAGAAGAGCUAAACCUCGAAGAAGAGGCAGCUGGAGCAGCUCCUGAGCUCGAGCAGCUCGUUCAGCGCGUUACCCUUGCUCUGCUUCGACUCGACCUUGCUGUCCUUCUUCGCGUGCGGGAGCAGCGACAGGAUGUCCUGCAUCAGAUGCCGGUACCUGCGACGAAGCACGCAAGCACGCGUCAAUCGAAUCACCCACCACAGGAUACUUCGAGUUACGGCACCGCAAAAGGGGGUAGAACAGGUAGCACCCACCUGUACGUGAUGCGGCGGGAGCAGGUGAUGAGCACCUUCUCCUUGUUCCGGAACGGCGCCGCCGCGGCGGAGCCAGCGGCCUCGGAUGCGGGCUCGGCGUCGGGGGCCGGCUCCUUGAAGCCGAAGAGCGUGCGCGGCGGGCGCUCCGGCGCGGAGUCGUCGGGCUUCUCUGCGACGGCGGCCUUCGCGGGCGCGUCGGUGCGCUUCCGCUUCUUCGCCAUGGCACUAGGCGCGUUCCGUGCGGGCUCGAAGGCGCGGAGGCGGCGGCGAACGGUGAAAGAAGCCUGGAGGUGGAGGGGGAGGGAGCAGGCGCUUUGCCUGCGGGGGGGGGAGACGAGCACGACGGCGAGCUAGGGUUUAAGCUUCUUUGGGUCGGGCAGUUGAGUCGCUUAUCAAGUGGGCUGAAUGGGCCUGCAUGGACCAGCCAGCGCAUGCAAAUCGACUAAUGGCCGGGCCGGCUGGAAGAAGGCCGGCCCAAACGUCAUCAGCUGUUUUGGAACCAGAGAGAGGCGCCGCACAACACAAGAGAAGCAGAGCGUUCCCACAAGAGAAGAGGAAGAAAUAAUCCCAUACCGGCGAUGGGAGAGGCUCGCGGAGCGGUGGGUGGUACAUAUAGGAGGCGGGGUGCUAGCGGUGAUACUUGCCUUAAACUAAUGAGUAAGGAAAACAAAGCGGUGCGGUGAGAGCCGCUCGCGGUGCGGGGUCAUAACCUGCACGGCAAUUUUUGAAGGGGGAAGAGGCUGGCGCGGGUACGGACACUGCCGUACUUUGCAGGACUUGCCUGUGCGGGCCUCCCCACCCACCAAAUCAGACCCAAAUAAUUUGAUUCAGAAGCGGGCGGGUAUUAGGCCAGAUUGGUUGGUUGGCUCUGGUAUUUGGUAUCCAAACAAGUCAUAUUCUCAAAUUCAAGUUAUAUUCUAAAAUUCUUGCCCUGGCAUGAAAUUUGUACACCAACUAGCAAAUUUUGUGCACAAAUUUUAUACACCAACCAAUCAGGCUUCCUUGCAUUCUUCCCUUCCCUUUAAGCAUUCUUCCCUUCCCUUUGCCCUUCUAUUUCGAUCGCUUUCACACGAUUUUGUAAUUAUUUUAAUUUUGCUAGGGCUUACGAUGAAAUUGUUUUCAAAAAAAUGCUUGCAAUGAAUCCACACACCUCGAGGGAACACUGGAUUCAUUUUUAAAAGCAGCUGAUGAUGUCACAAAUCUGAGUUUAGGGAUGUUUACAAGGCGUUUGCAGCUAUGAGUUUUCAGACCCUUACUUUCAUCUUCAAGUCAAAGAGUUUAGGGUUUAUUAAGGGGCUACUUGUAAUGUGUAGUUCAAGUCCACGUCUGCUUCCAAGUAAUAUCUUUUGGACCUACUAUGCAUCUGAAAUGUAGAACAAUCCAAUUGCCAAUUGUCACCAUAGUCUUCGUGUUAAAAGUAAUUGAUAUUCUUCCAUCAUCAGUUUGUCUAUCAAUUAUCUUAUUUUUAGAAGAAUGAUAUGAUGAAGGCUAAAUGCACUUAUAUUUGAAAUUAGAUGGAAUAGCAUUAUUAUGGAUCCACUCUAUUGUUCACGACACAGUAUAGUGCAACCCCAUGCACAAUGAUAUAAAAGCGAUCAAGCAUUGUCAUCUUGCCGUCUAUUGAUUACAAUCGUUGUUGAUUACAAUCGUCUGCCCGUUCACAAAAUGUCACAGCCAAACUUCAUCAUGGUGUCUGUAUUUUAUACUGACAAUCUACCGAGGGAUAUUUGUGUUGAGCUGCUAGGGCACCAUGACUAAUCUUCAAAUACUACCAUUUAAAAUUUUAGAAUGCACAAGUUAACUAAAUUCUAAACUUAGCGUGAUAUCAAAUGGCUUCAAUUUCUUUAGCGAAAAACAUUAAAUCCGCAUCCUCUCACACCAAUAUAUGAAGAUCAUACCCGGUAUACGUAUAAGGUGUUUCAGGAUGAAGAUCAAACCCGGUAUACGUAUAAAGUGUUCCAGGAUGUUAAGCAAGACCAUUAGAUUGAGAAGUUAUCAUCCUGUUUGUUUGAGCUGUAACUUUUGAGUUUUUCCGAACUUUUUGGUUCUGAAAAAAACCAAUACUACCUUUUUAGAAGAUGUGUUUAGCAUCCUGGACUCAAAAACCUACGAAAAGCUAAGAAAACUGAGCUUUUCAGCUUUCCAUAUAAAUUCAGCUUUUCUGAGCUUUUGGCUUUCUAGAAGCUGCACGACAAAUUCGUUAUUUGUUCACGCUGAGAAGUUGCCGGGAAGCUCAAACAAAUAGGACCUCACUAUCGAUAAAACACGUUACUACGAGAACUCAUAUCAAGUCGAGAAGACUCAAAAGUUGACUCCAAAGUUGAAUGAGUAAGUUUUCAACAAAAGAACCCUAACCACGCCGAGACAUAAUGAAAAACUUGGUUUGGCCAAGUUUUAAAAUUUGAUGAAAUUUUGGUAGCCCGAGCCUAGUGUGGCCAAGCCCAUUCCCACGCUGUGCAGGUGUUGGGUCAGAUUUGUCAAUAUAUUAAGAGUAAAUUGCACCAACCAUAUAAUGACUUGUACUUGGUGCACAUUGGUCCAAUAACUUCGUAAAAUAUUUAACUUAGUACAAUAACUUGGCAAUUGGGUGCGGAUUGGUACAACAUGUAAAAUGUUCAAUUUAGUACAAUAACUUUGACAAAAUUUGUGCAUUCGUAAUACUAAAUUAGAACCUAUACUCGGUUGGAUGCCAUUGUACAAGGCGAGGUAUGAAUAGUUGGUAGUGUCCGAAAUUUUGAUUAAAAGCUCAAAUGCUCAAAUUUUGAUUAAAAGCUCAAACGCCAUCGAACUGUGAAUGGCAUGGCUCGAACUGAAUUCGAAGCAGCUUAUCUGGAAGGCAGGCAGAGAAUUGGGGCUUUGGGGCUUAGCACCGACCCCGAUGUUUUUUCCCCUCAAAGAGCGAAUCGUUCGUCUCCGGUGAGCUUUGAUGGAGGGUCAUUGUACGCAAGAGUAGGAUCUCACUUUCCUGCACACUGGCGCCAUGUCUUGUGAUCGCUUUGUGAUGUGCAGUGAUCAAAACAUGCUACCAACCCAGACAGUACAGCCCAACACCUCCUCUGUUUGGUUGCGUGAUCAAGCGUAAACUUAGGCCUCGUCUGGAACGAAGGAUUUUCACGGGAAAAACGGAGGAAAGAAACGCUAGUGAAGCGUUUGGGAUGGAGGAAACACGGAUCUCCUUCCUCCGGAAUCCUGUAGCUAGAUGCUGAUUUCGCAGGAAAGGAAAAAUCCACUCUCAGCUCUUGUUUUCUCUUCCUUCGAGGCAGCAUGUGUCAUUUACUAGACGGACGUGGGAGGAUUAAGGAUAAGCAACAUCCAUCGUCUGGAGAAUGCAAGCUAGGUCUCAAAAUUCACCGAUGUGUGACAGCUUAUAGCUGCAGCGCUCCCAACCAAGACGACAUCACAAGCGACGGAUCUAGCAGCGGAAAAUCGAUUCGCAAAUUGAACCAAUUUUCUUUAAGAAAAAGGGAAAAGAAGGAAUGGAAACCCAAAGAAAUCCCAAAGAAAUCAAACAAGCAAGCACCACCACAGCCUCCAAAUCGAACCCUUCGCAAGCAGAGAUAAGUCAAACUAAACCACGGCGGCAAGCCGGCAAGUGUCGAGCGACGGCGUGGAGGAAAUCUCAGCGAAUAUCCAUGGCAACCAGCCAAGCACGCGGAGGCGUGAGCACUCGUCGCCUCGUCGGCAUCCUGGAGACGGUGGACAGGCCUGGUUCACGGACCAUGGGCCCCACACGUAAGUGUCACUCGAUUUAAGGCAUCGGAUGUAGUCACGUACUGUAUCUGUUAAUUAAUCUGCCACUAGGUACUAAAUUUUUUUUAACCCUUACUAACUUUUCAAUUCCUAUGUCACGUAUUCCUUUGUUCUAAACACCAAAUCAUGUUCUCUUCCUGUGUUUUUCCAAUCCUCUGUUUUGAUACUCCGUUACUUUUCUUUUCCUGUGUUUCCUUCGAUAAAUGCGUUUUCCAUUCUUCAUUCCCAACAGGCUCUUACGGUGCAAAUAGGUAGCAUUAGCAAUGUAGUAAACCAAAAGCAAAGUCCUGCCAUUCAUGUAGUUCGUGGCUCCCCAUGUAUCCAUUUUUUGGUGUUAUCCUGAAGUUGUGUCUACAAGCAGUACACACUAUCGAAAAAUGCUUUGAACUAUUGAGAAUUACAAUCUAGAAACUAAGGUCCACCAUAAUCACAUAUCCAAAUACUCCCUCUUUUAGAGCUGGACUCUACCACAAUGAUUUCUAAAUUAUAAGUCAUUUCAAUUUUCCUGGAGAGUCAAAAUAUCUCAAUUUUGAUCAAAAUUUAUAUAAUUUUAGUUAAAUAUAAAAUGAUUUGAGUCUCAUAAAAUUGGAAUGAUUUAUAAUUUGGAACGGAGGAAUAGUUAAAAUAUAAGACUAAAUAGAUAUGCAAGGAGAAUUGAAGGUACUCGAAUGUUGAUUUGUUGUGUUUCGCACUCAUACAUUUCUCAUUGCCCACAAAACUCGUUUCUUGCACUUGUACCUUAUUAAUUACUCCGGACCUGCUGUUCUUUUUAUGCGAACCUGAAGACUCUAUUCGGAACACACGAUUACUUUUAAUAGUUCAUACGAAUAUUGAAUUUUUUUUGUCUAAAAUUUAUCAAUCACGGACAAGUGUUGCAGUUUUUUUUGGAAAUGAGCUCAGAGUUUACCGUGUCAUAAUAUGCGGAAAAAUGGGAUUUAUUUUACGUUUUUUUAUAAGGAUGUCAUUGAGAUAGCAAUCAAUUGCAUGUUUGCUCUAGGCAAAUAAAGACAACAGAGUUCCGAGAUAAGUACACAGAAAGCACAGGAGAAGGGUGGGCAAAAAUAUUUUUUCCCAGAACAAAUCUUCUAUUUGUGGCCACACCACCGCACCGGCCACCAGGCCACCACUUCGCCUCGCCAUCGCCCACGGCUCCACCACUCCACGUCUCGGCUUUUUGCUUCCUUCCUCCCUCCUUCCCUCCAGCGCCUUGCAGCAGCAGCCUGCGCCCGGGCGCCGAAUCUCCGGACGAGAUCGCGUCCCCGCAUCCGACGCCGCCGGCGCCGGAGCCCACCUCGGCGAGCGCCGCGUUCUGCUACCGAUCUAGAGGUGCGCCCCCCCCUUGCCGAGAUUCGACGAGCUUUUCGCGGGAUUCGCGUGUCGCUUGAUGAACGGAGGACCAUUGGGGCUGGUUCGUUAGAUUCGGUUGUCUGGGAGGGAUCGGAGCCGGACCUGCAUUAUUGCGUGGUAAGGGCGGAUCGAUUCCGUUGUCCGUGUGAAUGCGCGCGGGUUCGCGGUGAUCUGCGCCUCGCGCUCGAGCUGUGCGGGGGGAAAUUUUGGUGUGUAUCAGUACUGCUGUAAUCUGGCUCGGGGGCACGGACUUCGGGUUAGCUAGAUUCCAUGGGUUUGGUCCUCUUUUGGAGCAAGCAUGUAGCGAUUACCCCGAGAUCGCCUGAUCUGAGCCCGGGAAUACUCAUGUGUGGGCGUCGUCACAUGGCCAUAGCUUACCAGUAGCUGCACCUGAUUCGCUAUUUCGGUUUGUCUGGGUGACACGGCCAUGCGAUUUUUCAUGAAUGCGUGGGCAUUAGUGUCCCCUAAGCUAUCGUAGCUUAUGGGCAUAGUGGUUGUUUUAGUGUUGGACUGUGUAGCCGCAUGGUGGUUUAGGUGUAAUUAGUUGCACUUGGAUUGCGUGAUUGCUUGCAGUGGAUUGAGCCCAUCCUGUUGUGAUGUGUCCGUGAUUUUUCGGGGUGCAGUCAGCAGAUCAAUGUGAGAAGUGAAAUUUUGGUCCACUAAUUCCAAGCCUGUCUUAUCACGUUUGGUAUGUUGCGGUAGUGUUCACAGUGGAACGGAAUCCUCAAACAGUACUUGUGCUAGGUUGUGGGAGAUGGAUUUGGAUCAGGUUAUUUUUUUGAUACUGGAUCAGGUUAUUUUUUUGAUACUGGAUCAUGUUAUUGUAAUGCUACUUUCUAUGCCUGUUCUUGAUAGUGCUUCAUGCAGAAAACUAAAUGGAGACAUCAGUCCUACCCAUAUAUAUAAGUUUAGUUUCACACCAUUAGAUAUUUCUGAAAAACAAAACAGUAAAUUUAGAUUUGGAGUAUCAAGUUAUAUUGAUUCUUUUCAAUCUUUGGGACUCUGAGAGUAGACACCGUCUGAUCUGGUACCAAUGGGCAUUUCUUGCAUACAACUAUCUCCAUGCAGAUGAUCAUGGUUUACAUUUCAUAUGAACGCAGACAUGAAACUUGUAGCCUUCUUUGGACAAUUUAUUUCAUGAAUGCCAGUUUUUUUUCAAUGAUUUCCCAUCCACUUUUUUGUGCAUAUAUGCUUCAUGUUACUUGCUCAAUAUCAAAAGUUUCAUUCUAUUGCCCUUGGUUUACACAGGAACAUUUGGAGAAGCUUUACUCAAUAAAUAAGCACUGGGAUUUCAUUCAUUCUGUCUUGGGUUUUACAAUAAUGUGGAGGCUCAAUCCCUUUGGGGGGAAAGCACAGAGUGGGUUGGAAGGUCGCACCGUUGAUGUUGGUAGUGUGAAGAUUACAGUACGAAAUGCCAUUGCACAAGGAGGUUUCUCUUGUGUAUAUCUGGCAUGUGACACAGUACAUCCAUCGAAGUUGUACGCAUUGAAGCACAUUAUUUGCAAUGAUUCAGAAUCACUUGAUCUUGUCAUGAAGGAAAUUCAGGUUAUGAACCUCCUCAAAGGGCAUCCCAAUGUGGUCACACUUGUUGCACAUGAUGUUUUUGAUAUGGGGCGCACAAAGGAGGCACUUCUUGUGAUGGAGUUCUGUGAGAAGUCCUUGGUGAGUGCAAUGGAGAGCAGAGGUAGUGGUUACUAUGAGGAGAAGAAGGUGCUUUUAAUUUUCAGAGAUGCCUGCAAUGCUGUUUUUGCCAUGCAUGGACAGUCACCACCAAUUGCACAUAGGUGCGUUGUAUUCUUUAUGCUGUUCUGUUUCAUUAUACAAUUAAGAUUUCUGAAAUUAAUUGCCAAUUACUGGUACGCUAGCAAAUUGAGUGUUGUAAUAUUGUUAUUUUCUUUCAUGUACCUUAUUUGUAUCCUGCUAUGCUAAUAUUCUGGGCUGGAUUAAAAUUUAUGUACCUUAUAGCAUAUUUGCAAACAGUUUUCCUUGUACCAGUGUGCUGUAUUAGGUGUAAGUGAGGGCUGAGGGGCUCGUUUGCUGUUGCUAAAGCAAGUUAUAAAGUUAUAAUUAUGAAUAAGCUAUUCACAUAUGUCUUAUUACACUUUAUUGCCAUGUUGUUUAGGGAUCUGAAAGCUGAAAAUGUUCUUCUUGGUUUUGACGGUGCAUGGAAAAUAUGUGAUUUUGGAAGCACAUCAACAAAUCAUAAAUGCUUUAACAAAUCAGAAGAGAUGGGUGUUGAGGAAGAUAUCAUCAGGAAACAUACAACCCCAGCCUACAGGGCCCCUGAGGUAAAUGAACAGCUAUCUACAUGAUGGAUUUUAAAUUAACAAACCUUUGCAACCUCUAAUGAUGCCAUGAUGGGUUUUCAGAUGUGGGAUCUCUACAGAAGAGAAGUUAUUAGCGAGAAAGUCGAUAUUUGGGUAAGUGCAAAGCAUAUGAACAUGUGGUCUUUAGGAUGCAUAUUUUCAAAUAGUAAGCAAAUCAAUGGCAUAUCAUGUGCUAUGUUCUUACUUUAAUUAUCAGAGACAGGCAAAUUAACUUCAUAAAAAUUUUAAAUGCAUCUUUUUUUAUGCUAACAUUAAUCAUUGGGCCAUUUGUCUUGCACCUCCUGCAUAGCAUGGCUAAGGGUAAAGUUAUUUGUAACUUUCUUAUUUACCAUUGGCAGGCCUUGGGGUGCCUUUUAUAUAGAAUAUGCUACUUCAAGUCAGCGUUUGAUGGAGAAUCCAAGUUGCAGAUACUCAAUGGCAAUUAUCGUAUCCCGGAGCAACCCAAGUAUAGCACUGCUGUCACAGGGUUGAUCAAAGAUAUGCUGGAAGCCUCUCCAAAUGUCAGGCCAGACAUCACGCAGGCAAGAGCUUUGAUUGAUUGGCCAUUCAUCUCCAUGAUACUAGGUUAGUCAUAGACUGUUGCAUGUAGCUCUAGGAAUCAGACAAAUAGUUUUAUUUGGCUUAUGUUAUAAACUAUAUACUUCACAGGUCUGGUUUCGUGUUAAUGAGCUACUGCCGCUUGAGUUACAGAAAAGGUUACCUGAUGGUCCUUCAUCAGCCAUUUCCAUGAGUUUGCAAGAUGAAGGUGAGGUGCUAGAAGAAAUUGUCUGUACAAGUAGAACAUAAUUUAUUGAUCAUGUGUUGUUGCCAUUGAUUUGCAGUACUUCCUAAAGAAUUUGUAGUUAGUAUGGGGGAAAAUCUUAAUUUUGUUUGCUUGUUUGAUAACUCAUGUAUUUCAAAAGGACCCCUUGAGGACAGAAAGUUAGCAUGUGUCUGGAUUUGGGGAUUGGAGAGGGGACGAGAGAUAUACAGGGGGUCGCCAUGGACAGGCACGAAGAAGGCUUUUCCUUCUUAAUUCUCACUUACCCUUUAUUGAUGAUCCACAACAGCCAUGCACCUAGAUUGAAUGUAACCUAAUAGGUCGAAACUAACCCCUAGCUUAUCUCUAAUUGACUAAGUUAAGUGGUAAGAAACUAGUUAUGUUACGGAUGUGGACCUGCUGAUAAGAUAUUGUAGGCCCUAUGGAUUCAUGCAUAACGGUUUGCAUAACUCCUUGUGUAUAUAUUUUGGCAUUAUUCCGUUAAGUCAGGAUACAAAUCAUUUUGUGAAGCUAAAGCCAGUCAGAGUGACUUGAAGAACUUGGCUGUAGGGAUUUUGAUUCAAGCAAAGCAGGAUUUGCAUUUCUUCAACGAAUAGCCCUUUUGUGUCCUCAACUCAUUUUUGUGGGAACUGCCUUUUUAUUUGGGAUAACCUAACAUGAUCUAGUGACCUAAAUACCUAAUUACUACAACACGAAUUUAAUAUACCAAUAUAAAUUGGUGCAGGUUCGAUAGAUAAUUCCGGUAGGGUUGGAUGCCAGACUUUAUAAUCCAUUUUCCUGCGCUAGUGAGCUCUGACAAGAAUUUUACGUGUACAUGGGUUAUUUGGCUACGUUAUUAUCCUAUUUAAGUAUUUGUUAUUUCUGUGUCCUGGCCUCUGACUUGGGUAAUUACUACAUGUACUCUAAUCCCCUCUUAGACAAUCUUAUUUUGGAUGUUGUAUGCCCCUCUUUUUCAAAAUGUAAGGCAUUGCUUGAUCCGGUGUGGUUUCCAAGACUACACUUUAACCAUUAAUAGUAUAUCAUACAUUAAUAGUAUAUCAUACUUUACUAUUUUAGCCUGACUGUAUGUCCUUUAUGUUUUCUGCAAGAAGGAAAGUGUGGUUAAUGGACAAGGUCACUGUACUAGUUUACUGUUGUAUUUUUGGACAUGACUGGCCAGUGGCCAAGUGAUAGUUAUUUGCCGAUAAUCUAUUUUGCUUGUGUAGGUGCACAUAAAAGAACACAUGUGAUGCCUAGAAGGAAUCCUCCUCCGCCUCCAAGAGAGCAAUCUAAUAGUUCUUUAUCGCACGGAAGCUCAAGGGCAGGAGAUGCACCUUUAGGUGCAUUUUGGGCAACUCAGCAUGCACAAGGUGCGGAUAAUAGGAAACCUUUGUUUGACGAGGAGCCAAUUAAACCAUCACUGUCAUCAAAGCAGAACCAAAGCAGGGUGGACACCAGCAUCUCUAUCCCUGGGGAUAGGCAUGGUCAUUCUGGCCAGUCGUCACGAACAAGUAAAGCACCAAGUAACUCCUUGCCUAAUAAUGGAUUUGCAGGUGUCUCUGACACAAAUUUGUUCAAGGAGACACAAAGUUCUGUGAAAGUUAAAGCAAACCAAGCUCAGCCCAAGCCAAAAUGUGAGAAAGAUCCAUUCAACAGCUUUGUUGCAGAUUUUGACACACACAAUCUCAACAUUGCUGCUGGUAAGGCAUCUGAACUUGAACUCGAAUUGUCCAGUCUGAAGGAGCAGUUGAAGAAAACCACAUUGGAGAAGGACGAGAUGACAGCCAAGUAUGAAAAGCUAUCUGCAAUAUGCCGAUCACAGCGUCAGGAGCUCCAAGAACUGAAGCGCGCCCUUGCUGAGACAACACCUCCGUCAAACAAAGUCAGCUCUAGAACACAAGACUCUGGACCUCAGGUGAUUGCUCUACAUACAACUGUCUAGUACAACAUAUUUUUUAGUCCUGUCUAAGCAUCUUACGUUGAGAUUAAUCCAUGCAGCGAAAGGAAAAGAUUGAAGGAACGGUGUGGGAGCUUGAACAUGGAAUGCUUGCAAGCAACUCUAAAUCAGCCAGUUCUGAUGCCAAAACAUGGCAGGUGUUCCCUGAGACAAAGACCCAGGCCCAGGCCCGGCCAAAGGUUGAUCAUGCAACUAAUGGGAGGCAAAACCUAACCAAGAGCACAAACCCAGGUCCUUCGCCCGAUGCCUGGGGUUUUGGCACCGAUAAUUACAGAACGUCAGCAGCAGCAGCAAGCACUGCUACGCAGAUCAACAGGACCACUGCUCAAGGCAGCUCAUCCCAGAGAUUCAGCACUGGUGUGGCGAAGAAAGUAGAGCAACCAUCUGGAUGGGCUGGUUUUUAACAUAACAGCAACAUGCCGUAACCAUCAUUCUUGUUCGGAAUUUGCAAAAGUGCCCUACGCUUCUGCUCCUGCGCGUGCGGAUGGAUGAGGCAAGGCAAGCUGGUUAUCUUUCCUGCAAAAGGAGGUCGAAAUUGGUUAUCUUGAGUGUGUUCAUCGUUGGUUGAGCCAACUUAGACAUUGAUUCAUGUGAUCGUUUGACAUCAACCUGUUAAUAAGUAAAUAUUUACGGUGCUGUACGUAUUUCCUGUAUGCAGUAUGACCAUGUGAUGACUCACUGCUAUAGCAGCAUCAAUGGCAAGGUAUACCGCUUCAUGUGCUACUCUUUUUUUUGCCUCUUUCGAGAUGAAACUGGAGAGCAAGUGAGCAACAGUCAUAUCUUACGUUUUCAACGAGGGAAAGCUGCAAUCAUUUCACAAAAAUAUGAUAACAAAAGUCCUUUUUAAUGGCUUUUCAAAUAUGUAUGAAAACUUCAAAGAUUAUUUGGUGGAAUGUGGCGGUAAGUAAAGGGCGCUUUUGGUUAGUUACUCUUCUAACCUUUUUUUUUUACCAAGGUAACUAACCUUAGUAGUCAUGCUUUUGUUUAAAAAACACCUAUGUAAGCUUAGAUAAGGAUAAGAAAGUGAUAGGCUAAGAUCUAGUUUAUUUUAGCUAGGGAUUCCAAAACGCAAUACAUAGAUUAUACAUUGUGGAAUGCUAGUAGCUAUUACCUCUGUUUGUUCUCGUUUUAGAUUUUCUAGAUUCAUAAUUUUGUUAUGCAUGUAGACAUAUGGUGCAUAGAAAAAUCAUGUAUCUAAAAAGUCAAAAUAGAUCUAUAAUUUAAGAUGGAAGGAGUAUCCGGCAACAUGGAUCCUAUCUUGUCAUAUUUCUACUUAUACAUUGGGCACAAUGACAUAGUUGACAAAUAAGCAUGUGCAUGUCACACUUUGGCGGAAGAUGGAUGGUGUGAUAGAUUAUGGAAUCUGACAAAAAGGAUAUCUGUUUGUUUUCACUAAGACUUAUUAAGAUGUUUUUCAUAUCACUAAUCUUAGAUUCUCCUUUAUGGCAGCGAUCAAACACUAGCUAUAAAAAACUGCGACUGAACUUGGGAAACGUGUGCUAGUACUAGUAAUUUCAAAGCACACAAGAGACAGCCGGUUGCAGGCAAGGUGCCGUCGAGGCACUUGAUUCAUUUUUUAAAAAAAACUGGCCGAAGACGGUCACGCAACUGUAUGGGCUACGCAGGAGGCCGGCCGGCCGGCCGGCCCACAUAAGUUGUUGUUUAAAUGCCACGGAGCAGCAACAAACGCCUCGCCCCUCCUGCCGCCAGGGACUUCCUCCCAGAUUAGUACCAUACCGCUUACAAGACGACGCACCAACCAGCUUAAAUAUUAGCCUGGCAGCGCCCGCGUCAGCCAAGCACGGUAGCGCGUGCCUGUCACUCCAGCUUCAGGAGGGCUAAAGAGUGGGUGGGGAAGGGAUGUGUGCGUUCGAGCCCAUGUCAGAGUCAGCCCGCCGAAAGGCAUGUGGUGCCCGGCCCACCAGAGACGCCAGACGAAGCGCGGCGCAGAAGACCAGCUGUUGAUGAGAUCCUGGCCCGUCCAAGUUGGCCAAGUUGCGGUAGUUUGGGUGCAGGCGCUGAGCCAGUGGUGCCAGGCUUGUGACCCGUUGAGGAGGCCCGUUAGAGAAUGGGCGCUCGUUGGACCGUUGACCUGUGAGGAGGGCAGGCCGGUCGUUGACGCACUUGGGCCGGUGAGGAGGGCAGGCCACCAGAGACUGGUGAAAGCAGUAAUGUUGGCGCGCGCUAGUCGGGCCUUAGCCGAGGAGAUUGCCGGCGGGCCGUUGUUGUGGUCGAGGUGCACAUGUGGACUCUCUGUGGGGUGUUGAUGGGCUGUCGAUUAGGGGGCAGGCUUCGGCCCCGGUAGGCCGGCAGACCCGCCGGCGGGCAAUUUAGGUUGUGGGGUCCGCCCCCAGCCUGGAGCCCGUAUACGCCGCGCGGGGCUUCCACGGAGUCGGGCGGGGCAAGUUGCUGCGCAUUCGAUGCGCGCUUGGUCGUUGUCGCCGCCGGGCUGUGCGCGCACACGCGCAGCCCGCUUCGUGGAGCAUUGGCUUGCAUACUAUCCCCUCCUACCCACUCUUUUGUUUUUUAUUUUUUUCCUUUUAAUGUGUCCGCAAAUUUUUAUUUUUUAUUUUUGUUGCACUGAACGAUGCAAGCAAACAUCGUGCACGAAUCUUAAUUUUACACACGGUGCAAUAUGUAGGUGGGGGGGAAAACGGAGUUUGGUGGUGGCUUGCGCGUGGACCGUGGGAGACUCAAGCCACUAUGGAUUUGGCUUUGAACUCAACUCGGGUGUCUUCAAAUGGAUAGGAGAGUUAUUUACAGCAUGCUUACUGCAGGUCUCUCUGAUCAAGGGCCACGCUCGCCAGUUUCCUUGCCAGGGAGUUAUUUACGCUGAUCCCUCUAUAUGUCAGUUUGGCGUCAAAGACGAAAGAAAAAACAUAAGGGCUGGACGGUAACUUUCUCGGAUUUGGCCCAUGUAAGAUUUAUGCGUGCUCCGCGGCCUGGAAAACUAAAAGGCCCAUAUACAUGUAGCCCGUUAGAUGCCAAUGGGCUCGGACUGAACGUUCAAAGGCCAGAAGCCCGUCCGAGAUAGUAGGUAAGCCUGCUUCGCGCGGUUGCGGGAAAGCCUCGUCUGCUGUGCGCAGGGGCAGCAUUGUGCUACGCUGCCGACGUUCGUCUCGACUCUCGAUCUCUCGUCAUCCUUCAGGCUACCCGAUCAUGAUCGGCUGGUGAUUACUGAAUUAUUUUCUAAAUCCGAAUUGCAUGAGAAAGUAAAACUCGCACUAGUACAUACUAUCGUCUAAAAGGAAAAAGUAAAAAUAGUACAACAAGGGGGCCUAGUGACACAUAAGAUGAACCAGACAGUGAACCAGCAGCCAGGUGCGAAGUGUAGGAGGACAACGCUUACAUGUAAACAGCGGCAUGCAGAAGAGGGCAGAGAAGAUAAGCACUCACACGAAAAGAGGUCCGGUCAGUGCUCAACAAACGACGCUCCCCAUUUAGUCCCGUACUGCUAAUCACAGCCAGGACGAGCCAGCUUAAAAGGGCACGCAUCCCGAGCUGCAACCGCCAGGCCCGGUGGCGCGAGCCUGUUACUCCAGCCUCGGAGGGCAAAAGAGUAUGAUGCAGCGACAAGACUCACGGCCCAGCUAUCGGUCUUGGGUUUCUGGGUUGUGAGCUCGAGCCUUAGCUCAAAGCCGUGGAGUUGUCUGACCAGGGGCCCAUUUAAAUUGAGACGCGGCUUUGGCCCGGGGAGCUCGCCCAUAAAGCGAUGGGCUGGCUGAGAUUUCACUCGGCGGUCAUUGUCGACUAUCUCCCCGGGUUUCCAUACGGUGCUCACGGGAUAUUUAAUCCUUGAUUUUAGGCCCCAUGAUGAUGAUUAUGUGUGGCUAAGGUUUAAUGGGGGCCUCCGUAUGGUUGCUAUGGUUCGCUCAUAAACCCCUCUCAUCAACUCUUUUCCUUUUUUUAUGAUCCAUUCAUCCAUCCAGAUUUAGGGGGUGUUUGGAUCUUUAGUCGUGACUGAAUUCUUUUUUUAUGAUACAUUCCUUCAUCCAGAUUUAGGGGGUAUUUGGAUCUUUAGUCGUGACUAAAAUUCAUGUCACAUCGAAUAUUCGAAGGCUAACUAGGAGGACUAAACAUGAGCUAAUUAUAAAACUAAUUAUAUAGAUGGAGGCUAAUUCACGAGACGAAUCUAUUAAGCCUAAUUAAUCCAUCAUUAGCACAUGUUUACUGUAGCAUCACAUUAUCAAAUCAUGAACUAAUUAGGCUUAAUAGCUUCAUCUCGCAAAUUAGUCUCUAUCUGUGCAAUUAGUUUUGUAAUUAGCCUAUAUUUAAUACUCCUAAUUAAUAUCUAAACAUUCGAUGCAACAGGAAUUUUAGAAGGUGCUAAAGAAACAAACACCCCCUUAGGAUGAUCUCGCCACAGGUAUAUAACAAGUAAUUACCGUAUGUGCAUGCGUGUGUAACCUGCAGCUGCCGGGAGGUGAUUAGGUCCACGAUCAUGCGGCUCGGGAGAGAAGGAAGAACUUCAGCGCAAAAAAGAAAAGUUUGGUAAGGGUAUUUUGCGCGUGGAGAAACUCUAGAACUAGGCUUCGGCUAAUGUGUUACAUUAGCAACGACCGCUAAGGGAGAGGGAAGAUGUCAUAUUUUCUCGCUGUCAGGAGCUCCACAACACACUGAACACUAGCUCCCCAAGCUCUGCCCUUUGGAGAUGGAGUCAUAGGGCGAGUUCCUUUUGACAGGGAGUGAGUGUUUAUGUUGGUCCUUCUGCAGUUUACUUAUCAGUUUGGCAUCAAACUAUUAAAGACUAUGUGGAUAAGGGAAACCCAGUAAACUUUCUUAGGCUUGUCUCGUUGCGCGUUCUUCGGCCCGUAAAACUCAUAAAAAAACCUGUGUAGAUAGCUCAUUACGUGCAAUAGGUUCGAAUUGGGAGGAAUUGUACGUGGGAUCUGAGCCAUGCGCGCUCGUGCUCAUCAGUCAUCAGCAAGUCGUCGUCGUCGUCGCCACCGCCACUGCAUCGCAAGACUUCUCAGGCGUGGUUUUGUUGCAACCUUGCCGGAAAAACCUGGUUGCCUUUCUCAUGGGUCAUGGUAGUGGUGGGUACGUGUUCGUUCCUUUGUUACCCCCAACUGCAUGCAUGACCAAGUAGAAAACCACUAUUUUCUCAAAGAGGCCACCGUCUGAUAUACUACUGAACAUCGCCAUGACAGUGGCGACCGGUCACGCUUUACAGCACGCACAAAGACCUGGCGCAAACAAGAAAAGCGAGCGCAUGCAACUAAAUCCAGCUCCACUCACCCUGCAAGCCAAGUGCUCCUUUUAGUCCCAUACUGCUAAUCACUCUCAGAACAACUCGGCUUAAAGGGACACGCCUCGAGUCUACAAACGCCGGGUGCGGUCGCGCGGGCCUGUUACUCCAGUCAGCCGGAGGGCAAAAGAGUUGGUGUUGCGACAUGGUUUUGGCCCAACGGGCCGUCACCUGGGUUGUGAGUUGAGCCCUGGAUUCGGGAACGCAGCUCGUCUCGUAGACGAUGGCAGGCCGAACUCUCAAGCACCUUGUCAUUCGGGCCCGUCCCAAGCCAAGCACUUGUCGUUCGGCCGUUACAGGUUGGGUCGGAGGGAAACCUCCCCUAUCUGAGCCCAGUUUGGCGUCCCUUCCCGGUUUCCAUUCGCGCGGUCACGGGAGGCCGUAGUCCUCCCCUGAUCUUCCCAUUACGGUAAUCGGGGCUCGUAUGGUUGCCAGAGCUCGCUCACUAACCACUCUCACCAACCCUUUU
rnacentral:lncRNA from 1 species